UCAAUUCCUGGUCUGAAAUCUCACGGGGUUCUGAUUGUAUUUCAAAAGUUCCAGUUCUCGAACGUGGGUUUCUCUCUGAAUCAGAAUAUUUUCCCAUUCGCCUCCCUCUCUGGAGCAUUGAACCUUCCGGAACUCGCACUCCACCGCCUAAUUUGCAACAAAGGGUUUUCCACUUUACGAAGGAAAAAGUUGCAAAACUCAAAGCAAAAGCCAAUGCUGAGAUUGGUAGUACCAACAAAAUCUCCUCUCUCCAAGCAAUCCUUUCCCAUAUUUGGCGAUCUGUUACUCGUAAUCGAUCUCUUGAUCCUGAUGAAGAAGUUCAUUUCAUGUUAGGAAUGGGAGUUAGACAAAGAUUGCAACCACCACUGCCACCAGAAUAUUUUGGAAAUGCAGCUCAGGUACUGGGAGAGUUCGCAUCCAUGAAAGCGAGAGAUCAACUUGAGCAAGGGCUUGGAAAUGUGGCAUUGAAAAUGAACAAGUUCAUCGCUGCGUACACAGACGAAAAGAUAAAGAACUUCUUGGAGUCUUGGGGAAAAAACCCUGAGAUCCUAACAUGGGAUAGCCUGCCGACGAAGAAUAAUGCUUGCUUCGUAAGUAGCUCGCCGAGGUUCAAUUUCUACGGUAACGAUUUCGGGUGGGGAAGACCAAUUGCAGUAAGGAGUGGUCCAGCGAACAAGGCUGCUGAGGGGAAGAUCACCCUGUUUGCCGGAGUGGAAGAAGGGAGUGUCGACGUUGAAGCUUGCUUUUUGCCUGGGACACUGCAAGGUAUGGGAAAUGAUACAGAAUUCAUGCAAUUGGUAUCUUAAUUGUUAAAAAUCUUCCGUGUUCUGGGGCUUUGCUCAUUAACCAUUAUAUCAAUGAAAGCUUACUUUUAAAUACAUUUAGGAUUUCAAUUAAAAUAUAUCUAAUUUUGAUAUUUUUGAAAAAUAAAGCCAUGGUGAAAUAAUUGACAUAACAUCAAUAUUAUAUCAGUAGUUCAGUGAUUUUUUUUUUCUUUUUGGGUACUUGCACCUUGCUGAUAUAGACUUUGUAAAUUAUUUUGAAUGCUUAACAUAUUUCUUUUAAUGUGAUCAAUAAAAGUUUUAAAAGCAGUCUAACAAAUUAAUGAUAAAUAAAUUUGUUUCAUAUUAAAAAUAAUUCUCGAUGACUUGAUAAUCCUGUGAAGAAGUUCCUUUCGAACUAUCGAUAGGAGUUAGAAUAAGAUUGCAACCAUCACUGCCGCCUGAUGAAUAUUUCGGAAAUGCAAUUCUAUAAAGCGGGAGAUCAAAUUGAAUAUGCGGCACUGCGAAUGAGCAAUGUUAGUGAAACUGAUAAAAUGUGAAGAACAGAGGAAACGAGUACAUGCUGUAACUAGGGGUGGGCAUUUUACCCGACCCGACCCGACCCGAAAUUUAUCGGGUCGGGUCGGGAUCGAAACCUGAUCGGUUUGAAAUUUACAAACCCGAUCGGGUUGUGAUCGGUUCGGGUCAAACCCGACCCGAUCCGAAUACCCGAUCGGGUUCUUAAAAAAAAAAAAAAACGUACUGACCUGAAUUGACCUGAUUUCAACCGACCCGAACUGACCCGAAUUGACCCGAACUGACCCGAUUUCAACCGACCCAAAUUGACCCGAACUGACCCAAAUUGACCCGAAUUGACCCGAACUGACCCGAACUGACCCGAACUAACCCAAAUUGACCUGAACUCAAUCCUACCCAUUUUAAAUCCAACCCGAUCCAACCCGAACAUAGUUCGGGUCGGGUCAUUAAUUCGGGUUAUGUUCGGAUUGUUCCUUGUCUAACCCGAACAACCCGAAACCCGAUCGGGUUGACCCGAACCCGACCCGAACCCGAUUUUGCCCACCCCUAGCUGUAACUAUGUAUUUGACAGCAGCUGAAUAGCUCACUCAGCUGACGUGGCUUAGUUAGUUAUUUUGAUUUAAGCAUUCUUCACAUGUGUGUAACAAAUUGCCAACAAUUAGUAACAAGUUGCUUUCACUUGCUAUAUAUAUGUAUAAUCUGUACUCAUUCGAUUAAUGAGAAGUUUUUACAAGUUUCCAUUAUGAGUUUUUCAUUCAUUUUCCUUUUAACUUUCUCGCUUCCCAAACACAAAUACUUGAGUUUCUAUCAUGGUAUCAGAGCCAUCAAUGGUGUUGUAAAAAAUUUUAAUAUACUCGUAAGCGCACGAAUGUAGAAUAAAAUAAUGGUAAUAAGGUCAAACCCACAGGGAUUAUUAUAAAUUAAAAAGUCUAAUUUAAAUAAAUUAAUAUUAAUUCUAACAUAGUUGAACAAAUUGAGUUUCUAAUAAAAUUUAACCAAUUAAACUAAGAAAACAAUUAAAACAAAGGAGAAUUUAAUAAGACAAAAAUUACUAAGGUUUCAGAAUCCACCACUAAUCAACUAGUAAUUACCUAAUUAUUAAUUAAUCCCCAAUUUUAGAGUGACAACUCGAAAUCAAUUUAUAUCAUCUCAUGGAUAUAACAAUUAAGCCCAAAUAAAAUUAUUCUUGUGUUGGUUCUUUUUCUUCUUAAUAAUAUGAUAUCUAAGCAUCCCAUGUAAACAUAUUGAAUAACAAAGAGUCAAAGUUUUCCGAAGCACUCUGUGUAAACAAUUUAAUGAAAGACACAGAAUCAAAGAUAAUCAUGUAUAAACUUUAAAGACUCAAGCAUAAAUUUAAUCGGAUAUUAAUUGUAACAAUCAAUAAUACAUGACAGAAUUGAUGAAAAAAUUUUAAUGCCCUUUUUAUCCUUAAUCUUUAUUCCUUCCCAAUUUGAACUUCUUCAUGCCCUUUUUAUCCUUAAUCUUCAAUUAAUUUCCUAUUCAAUAAAAUAAUUCAAUUAAUUAAAAAUAACAAAUAAAAAUAACUAGUAAAUAUGUAAUUACGGGUAAAAUAUGUAUAUAAAUUAUGAUCAUCAAAUGGCAAGCAUGAUUCAAUCCAAUACAUCCUCCUCUCCUUCAAAUAAUUCCCUACCUCAUAUCAUUCCUGCACCUCCUCCCAUUGGUCAUCCUAUGAUGACCAGAUCCAAGAAUGGCAUAUUCAAGCCAAAGUCUUAUCUAUGUGCUCUUUUAGCCUAAUCAUUUGAACUUUCCUCUGUCUCUCAAGCUUUAUCUGAUCCAUUAUAGUUCAAAACCAUGCAAGAAGAAUUUCAAGCCUUACAAGCCAAUCACACAUGAGACUUGGUACUACCUACUGCUCCUGUUAAAGUGGUUGGUAACAAAUGAGUUUUUAGAAUAAAAUACAACCCUAAUGGGUCAAUACUAAAGUACAAAGCACGACUGGUUGCUAAAGACUUCCAUCAGAUACAUGGUCUUCAAUUUUACAAUUGUGGAGCUAUGCAGAUCAACUCUUUUACAUAUUCAGAUUGGGCUUGUGAUCGGGAUGAUAGAAAAUCAGUAGUUGGUUUUGCUGUUUAUCUAGGUGCCAAUCUGGUUUCAUGGUCAUCCACGAAACAAUUAGCUGUCUCAAGGUCCAGUACAAAAGCUGAGUACAGAGCUUUGGCUCAUGCUGCAUCAGAGGUCAUUUGGAUAUAGUUUUUACUUGCUGAGCUAAGAAUUCAACUAAGUACUACACCAAUUAUGUGGUGUGAUAACCAGGGAGCAAUUGCCUUAGCUUAUAAUUCAGUUUAUCAUGCUAAAACAAAGCAUGUUGAGCUGGACAUUCAUUUCAUCAAAGAUAGAGUGGGAUAAAAAGAAAUAGCUAUUUUUUUUGUGCAUAGUGAAGAUCAAACAACAAAUGUCUUAACUAAGGCUCUUACUUUCACUUAGUUCCAUUGCUUGCGCAGUAAAUAAAAUGUUUAUCCCAGAAACACCAGUUCCAGAGGGGAUAUAAGUAAAGAUGAUAAUUUGUGAAGAAUAAAAGAAUGGAGUAAUGUGAAAAGCAGAAACUCCAGCUUAAGAGGGGAUGUUAGUGAAACUGAUCCCUUGGAGUCCUGGAGACAAAACCUUGUGGUCUUAACAUGGGAAAGCUAGAAGACGAAAUCUUAUUGGUUUCCAAAUAGUUCGUCGAGGUUCAAUAGCAAUGAGAAGUGGUCUAGGGAAUAAAGCUUAUGGAAAUAUCACUUUGUUUACAGGAGUGGAAGAAGGUAAUAUCGACAUUGAAGCUUGCUUUUUACCGGAGACACAAUAGGGUAUGGGACAUGAUACAGAGUUCAUGCCAUCUACGUGUUAACGUCUUUGGUGAUCCUAAAAUAUUACUUUCUAAUAAUUCAUUUACACGUUAUCACGUGUAAAUGAAUGGUAUCAUAAUUAGUUAAAAGCACACAAAUGAUAAAAAGUGAAUUCAUUACUAUAACUAUGCUUUAUUUAGGCACCUCAUGCAAUAAAUUAUUUCAUCUCAAAACUCAAUUUAAUAAUUAAUCCCAUGAACAUCCAUUCGUUAGAGCAUGACAACAAAAUUUCUGUAUGGCAUCUGUGGCAGAGCAUAAUAGCUGUAGAGAAAUGGAAAUUGAAAGGAAGGAGCUGGUAGCUUAUAACUGUGAUUCAAGUUUUUGCUUUAGAAUCUUUCAGAAAAAAAAAGUUUUUGCUUUAGAAAUUUUUUGACUCGACCUAGUAAACUGGUCAAUACCUCACGAGCUCAUUAAACUAUCAAAUUUGGGGCCCAAUUUGAUGGGCCUAGUUGGUUGCAGUGUUGGGUCUAGUUAGUCUCAACAAAUACUGGUCGUAGCCUUGUAGGCAGUUCGCAUUAGAGAUUUAUGAUGAUUGUAAUGUGUGAAUGAGUAAUAGAAAGCUCUAUUUAUUGGCACAAGGAGUAACCUUUGUGCGGUUGUGCAGAUAAAAAGAGAAAACAUGUAGUGGGUAAUAUGAAAUUAACAGUAAUAUGUUGUUAUAAACACGAUUAGAAAACUCAUGAUUUAAGCCAUAAAAGCCUUCAACUCAACACCAAAGUAUUCAGGGAACUACACUCAUGGUUUGAAUAGAAAUGCACAACCAUGGUUCUAAUACCAAUGGCUAAAAUAAUUUUAAGCUUUACGGCAAUGAAUCCAUUCAACAUAUUUCAUAAGGGAGAAAAACUGCAUUUUAUCUUGGUUGGCCAUGAAAAAGACUUGCUGGUCAGCUUGUUUCUUGCCCGUUAAUUCAACCUUUUGUUCUUGGCUUCAAUCUCAACAGCAAAAUCAAGCUCCUCAUUCACUGCACACACACACAAUUAGGAGAAAGGAGAAAAAGAAAGACAGUGUAUAAUGAAACUGCAUUUUAAAGAAAUGUGUAGAAAACAAUCAAAACCUUUACAGAAUUCUUAGUAUUUUUGUCAACACAAUACUUCUUCUUUUAAAGACAUUUAUGCCAUAGUACAAAACCUUAGCCUACAAGAUUUGUACACACAAAAUGAAAAAAGAGCCAAGUAAUUCAUGAAUAAAAAACAUAGAGCAAAGAAGGGAUAAGUAACAUAAACACGCACACAAAAUUGGCACAGAUGAACAAAGAACGAGUUGCAAGCUCUUUAUUACCGAAAGAAACGAGCCCCAUAUCAUAUGAUCUCCCUACAAGCUUUACAACGAGCUAUCAUAUGCUUUCUAACUCUCAAAGAUUAACAAGUUACAGGCCUUAGAAAUUGCCCUCGUAAAUUCAUUUUAAAGCUAAAUUUUCUUACUAUUCAUGUGAUGAGCAUAUACUAUAUACAUAUUUUACCCUUAAUUAUAUAAUUACUAAUUAUUUUUAUUUGAUAUUUUUAAUUAAUUAAUUAUUUUGUUGAAUAAAAAAUUACGUGGAGAUUAUGAAUAAAAAAAGGGCAUAAAGGAGCUCAAUUUCGGAAGCAUUAAUUAAUUGAUUUUCGGAGCAAUUAGGCAUAUUUGCAUGUGAAGCCAAGCCAAGGAAACCAAAUUAAACAAAUUAAUUCAUCCAUGCACAUGAAGACAAAGAAGAUUAUGGCCAUCACGUGAGAAGCAAUCACCAUUAUUGUUAGCAUGUGCAUGUCAUUAAAAAAGGAAUUCUAAUGCAAUUCUAAGUGGUGAGCACGUGUGAGAGCAAAACAAAUUAAAAGGCCAAGCCUUUCGGCUUUAGAAUUGGAAUGGUUGGUGGCUCAUUUUGGAGAUUAUAAAAAGAAAUAUGAACUUUGGCUUUUAAGAGGCCAACCGCGAGAAGAGAAAAAAGAGAGCAACGUUAGGCAUUCGGCAGAGGAGAAAAUAGCGGCAGAAGCUCUUUAAUUCUUUUAUGGUUGGUUUUAUUUUAUUUGUUGCUCUCAAUUCAAGUAUGUCUAGCUAAUUUUCUUUUACUGAGGUUAAAGAUGAAACCUUAUUCAAUGAAAUAAUUAUCUUUUUAUUUAAUGAAUUCCUUACAUGCGUGUUUUAAUGUUUAUGUUUUUUUAUUUUACAUGAUUAGUUGGAUGUUAUUAAAUCUUUUCAUCAAUUCUGUCAAGCAUUAUUGAUUGUUAGGAUUAAUAUUCAAUUAAAUUUAUGCUUUGGUCUAUAAAGUUUUUAUAUUAUUAUCUUUGAUUCUAUAUCUUUCAUUAAAUUGUUUACAUAGAGUGCUUAGGUAAAUUUUGACAUUUUGUUAUUCAAUAUGUUUACAUAAAAUGCUUAGAUAUCAUACUAUUAAGCAGAAAAAGAACCUACAUUAGAUUUAAUUACUUGGGCUUAAUUGUUAUAUUCAUAAGAUGACAUAGAUUGAUUUCGAGUUGUCACUCUAAAAUUGGGGAUUAAUUAACAAUUAGAUAAUUACUAAUUGAAUAGUGGUGGAUUCUGAAACCUUGAUAAUUUUUGUCUUAUUAAAUUCUCUUUUAUUUUAAUUGCCUUAGUUUAAUUAGUUUAAUUUAUCAUUGCCUUAGUUUAAUUAGUUUAAUUUAUCUUAAAACUUAAUUUGCUCAACUAUUUUAUAAUUAAUAUUAAUUUUAGAUUUAAAUUAGACUUUUCAAUUUAUAACAAUCCAUGUAGGUUUGACCUCAUUACCACUAUUCUAUUUUUAAAUUCGUGUGCUUGCAAGUAUAUUAAAAUUUUUCACAAUAAGUUUUUGGCGUCGUUAUCAGGGAUUGUGCCAAAAAGUCAGUUUAAUCUAGAUUGAUUUGAUUUUUCCACUAGUUAUAAUUUAAGUUGUCUUUUAUUUUUAUUUUAUUUUAUUAAUAAAAAACACAAAAAAUAUUUAUUUGUCUUUAAAUUUAUUGUUUGGUUGUUUGAUUUGUUAUAUUUUAAAUUCCGUUUAUUUUUAUUAUUGUUGCUUUAUUUUCCUUUCUUUGUCUAGUUAGUUUAUGAGUGUUUGGGAACGCGAUUCAACAAAUCGUUUGGUAAGAAAAGAGUUUAAAAUUGAUAGUAGUCGAGUUAGUUCUUCAAAAGUGAUGGAUGACCCAAAGAGAAUAUUGUCAGUACUUCCACCAGUGCAAACAGAGAAAAUCCUUAGAGAAUAUUUUUCACCACUUGCAGCCAACCAACCAUCUUGUAUUAUGUUGCCACAGACUACAGCAACACACUUUGAAUUCAAGCCCUCUGUCAUUUAGCUUUUACCAUCUUUCCAUCAAAAUUUUAAUGAUCAGUCAAUUAGGUUUCGUAUGUUCCCUUUCUCAUUAAAAGACAAAGCGGAAGCUUGGUUGAAUUCACUUCCUGCUGGGUCUAUUACUACAUGGGAUGAAUUAAGUAAUAAGUUCUUUACCAAGUUUUUCCCUAUGUCUAAAACAAAUGUCAUUAGGAGAGAGAUAAAUGAUUUUUGUCAAAGAGAGGGUGAACAAUUUUAUGAGUGUUGUGAAAGAUUCAAUGAUUUACUCCUCAAGUGUCCCCAUCAUGGUUUUGAGAAAUGGAGACUUAUACAGUGCUUUUAUAAUGGUUUAACUAUAUCAAAUCAUCACAUGAUAGAGUCUAUGAAUGGUGGGAGAUUUUUUAAUUUACAUGAAGGGGCUGCAUGCGAUUUCUUUAUUUUACUUUUUGAGAAUUCUCAACAAUGAGAUUUUUCAAAUCAAAGAAAAAAAUGAUCUCAAGUUUCUAGGAAAGUCUAUAUGAAGUUAAUGAUGAUUUUGAUGUUAAGGUCAUUCUAGCUACACUUUCUAGGAAAAGUAGAUGCCUUAACUCUGAACCAAUCAAUGAAUCAUCACCCUAGUGUACCUAAUGAAGUUUGUACUCUUUGUUCUAACUUGUCUCAUACAGCACAUAAUUGUCCAUCAUUACCAGCCUAUCAAGAGGCUUAUUCUGAGCAGGUACAUGCCUUACAAUCAUAUGAGAAAACCCCCAAUAAUCCAUAUUCACCCACAUAUAAUCCUAAUUGGAGGAACCACCCUAAUUUUUCUUUGAAACAAAGUCAGCCUUUAUCAAACCAAGGAGGACAACAAUUCAACGUACCCAAUCAACAAUUUGUCCUUUCUAACCAAGUAUAUCCUCCUGCCCAACAGCCUAUGUCUCAAUUUGUUACACCUUAGCAAAGAAAAUGUUCUUUAGAUGAUACACUUUAAAGUUUCAUUCAGUUAACCCAACAAGCUUUUCAGUCAAACACUCAAGCUAUUCUAAAGCUUGAACAUCAAUUGGGUCAAUUAGCAACUGCUGUGGCUGAGAGAAAAAAAGGAAAAUUCCCAAGUCAACCAGUUCUUAAUCCUAAAUGAGUGCAUAAAGUUGGAUCAACUUCAAGCCAUCAGUAUAAAGAAGCAAAAUCUAUUAUGACCUUGAGAAAAUGAAAAAUAUUUGACAACAAGGUGGAGGUUCGAACAAGAAAGACAUCUGAACCUACUUCUGCAGAUCCAGUUCCAUCACAAGACUCAUCACUAAAUGAUCCAGAAGAAAGUAAUCCACCAGCUUACAUUCCUAAGGCUUAUUUUCCUUAAAGGUUAACAAAGGUAAAGAAAGAGACUUCAACAUGUGAGAUUAUGGAAAUCUUCAGGCAUGUAAGUAUAAGCAUCCCUUUACUCGAUGUUAUUAAGCAAGUUCCUCAUAUGCCAAGUUUUUGAAGGAUUUAUGAACUAAAAAAAGAAAUUUGCAUGUCACCAAAAAUGCAUUUUUAACUGAACAAACUAGCAAUUUACUUCAAUAUAAAAUGCCACCAAAAUUUAAGGAUCUAAGUUCCCCUACUAUCUCAUGUGUUAUAGGGAACCAAUUGUUUGAUAAAGCAUUAUUGGAUUUGGAUGCAAGUGUUAAUCUCUUGCCUUACUUUGUUUACAUGCAGCUUGGAUUACAUAAAUUAAAGUCAACUUCCAUUAUUUUGCAACAUGCAGAUAGGUUAAUGAAAAUACCUCAUGGUAUUAUAGAGGAUGUGUUGAUACAGAUUGAUAAAUUUUAUUAUUUUGUUGACUUUAUUGAUAUUGAUACUCAGCAUGUACAGGAUCCUAAGAAACACACCCCAGUUAUUUUAGGUCGUCCUUUCUUAGCUACAGUUGAUGCUCUUAUUAAUUGCAGGAAUGGAAACAUGCAAUUAUCUUUUGGUAACAUGACCAUGGAAUUAAAUAUUUUUAAUGUUCCUGAUAACUCUAGGAAAUGAGAGUUAUUACAUCAAUUCUAAACUUAAAUCAAGAUCACUUAGAGAACAAAUAAGGUGUUUUUAUUACAUUUUGGUUAUAUUUUGCAUAAACAUUCAUUUUAGUUAAGUUUUAAUAAGUUUUGUUUGAAUCAAAGUAAUUGGUGCUAAAAACAGGUGCAUAAUUGUAGCUUUUCAGAAAGUCUUAAUUCAUGAGAGGAUGGUGAGACAUUAGAUGAGCAAGAGGAGGAAAGAAGAUAGCCGCAAAAGAAGAAAAGCACAAUGGGGAAUAGUACAGUAUUGUAGCGGAUGUUAAAGCAACCAGUGCUAUAACAAUCUUGGAGCAAUGCUGGAGAAAAUUCAGGCGCGGGUCAGCUGCAGAAUCGCGAUUUGCAUGUUUCCUAAUUUAACUCAUGCACGCUUAUGGACUUUUAUUUUACUCUAGUUUGCAGUAUAAAAGAGAGGCGUGCACCACAUAGAGAGGCGACAAGAGGAAUUAUCAUAAAAAAUCAUUAGAGAGAAAAAGAGAAGAAGAUCAGAAUUGAAGAGUGUUGUUUCGGCAACAUUGAGGAAUCUGGUAGAAUUAUUCGAAUUUGUCUUUCACUGUGCUCAACUGAUAUUUAUCUUCCUCCUUUGAUUGUUUUAAUGUAUCCCGUGAACAACAUAUUUUUGUUUGUUUUUCUUAUUCAGAAUAUGAACUAGAUUUGCUUGUAGUUGAGUGACAAACAAUCCAAUGGGUUCUUGACUGUUCUUAUGUGUUGUUAUGUCAUUGCUGUAGUAUUAUACUCUAAUAGUUAUUAUUAAUAUAACUGUUAUUUCGGUUGACCACCCAUUUAAUAGUUCCAGUUAAGAUAGAGCAGUAAAAGUGCAUGUCUUAGCGGACAUUAUUAGAAUAUUACUUGAUCUUAAGUUAAGUUUCCUAGAUUAAGUUAUCUUGAAUCCCAUAAGGGCAAUGACAUAACAACACAUAAGUGCUCACCUUGUAGGGUGGAGAGAUAAAAAUGGAUCAUAAAGCCAUAUCAUGAGUAGAUUAGCAACUGGUCAUUGCUAGUGUAUUUAAGGGUAUGAGAGUUCCAAUAUGCGACAGCUGAGGAUGCAGAUUAAUUCCGCCCAGUGCUGCAGCACUUGCCGUAACAAUUGGAGUCCACUUGAUGAAAAACAGUCAGCCCAUAAGGAGAGUUUGAUCAUUCAACUACCAUGUUCUUACUUGAAUCUUAGACACAUUCAGUUUAGUUUAUUUCAUUGUGGUUUUGUUUAUUUUAUUCUCUCACAAUAAUUAAUUACGAUAGAACACAUUUUACGUUUGUUAACUUCGGAUUUGAAUUAGUUUGCACUAUUGUGAUUGCUACAAUAUUUUUGGUAACAUCAAUCCCUGUGGAGACGAUCUUGAAUACUCAUCACUUUAUUACUUGUUGUGUACACUUGCACAUUAACAAUAAUAGCAUUUGAUUAUAAAAUCAACCAAUAAGUUUUUGGCGCCGUUGCUGGGGGUUGAUUAUUUAUUUUUGAAGUGUGAAGUAAAUCUUGAUAGCACCAAAUUUGAUUUAAUUCAUUCUAUUUAUUGGCAGAUCAAUACUUGCAUGCGCAAAGACAGAUCUGUGAUAUUUCAGUUCGAUCCUGAGAUUGAAAUGACUGUUAGGAGAUUGCGAAGAGAACAAAGGAAGUCAAAAACUAUUUCAAGCAUGAAUAAUUUACAGGAUGAGGGAAAUUGAACCCUGACGGGCCCUUAUAACCAGUUAACAUUCAAGAAGAGCAGAAUGAACAUGCUAACGAGAGACAACCAGGCAAUAAUAAUAUUAUUUACAUGGCUAAUGACAGAGACAGAGCUAUUAGAGAUUAUGCUGUGUUAACUCCUCAAGUUGUACACCCUGAGAUAAUCAGACCUGAAGUAGAAGCUGUAAAUUUUGAGUUGAAGCCAGUGAUGUUUCAAAUGUUGCAAACAGUUGGUCAAUUAAAUAGAUUACCAAAUGAAGAUCCUCAUCUCCAUCUUAAGUUGUUCUUGGAAGUGAGUGAUGCUUUCAAGAUUGCUGGAGCAACACAAGACGCCUUAAAGCUGAGACUUUUUCCUUAUUUCUUAAGAGAUCGAGCAAGAGCAUGAUUCGUUACCAUCUGAUUCCAUCACUACAUGAAAUGAGUUGGCUGAUAAAUUCCUAAUGAAAUAUUUUCCACUGACAAAAAAUGCAAAGUUGCGGAAUGAGAUAACUUCUUUUCAUCAACUUGAAGAUGAAAGUUUGUACGAGGCUUUGGAAAGAUUCAAAGAACUGCUCAGAAGGUGUCCUCAUCAUGGCAUUCCUUGUUGCAUUCAAUUGGAAACUUUCUACAGUAGGUUGAAUCCAAGUACAAGGUUAAUGGUGGAUGCUUCAGCAGAUGGAGCCCUGUUAUCCAAAUCUUACACUGAAGCUUAUGAAAUUCUGGAGAGAAUUGCCAAUAAUAAUUAUCAGUGGCCAUCAACCAGGCAACCAGCAGUAAGAGGAUCAGUAGGGGUACAUAACAUAGAUGCAAUUACAACCUUAUCAGCACAAGUAACCUCAUUGACUAACAUGGUAAAGGCCAUGUUCUCUGCUCCAACAGUAGUGAAGCAAGUUGCAGAACUUUCUUGUGUAUACUGUGGUGAAGGACAUGACUUUGAUAAUUGUCAUGGAAAUCCAGCAUCAGUAACUAUGUGGGUAAUUUCAAUCGACAGCCUCAGAACAACCUAUAUUCAAAUACUUACAACCCUGGAUGGAAACAACACCCAAAUUUCUCAUGGAGCAGUCAGAAUCGAAAUGCUCCAGCAGUAAAUGGACAAAAUAUGAACAAUCAACCAUCUGGAUUUCAUCAGCAGAGUCAGGGGAAAAAACAUAGCAAUCAGGAUCCAAUCAUUUCACUGGAAGCAUUGAUUAAGGAGUACAUUACAAAGAAUGAAGCAAUUGUGCAGAGUCAAGCCGUAUCCUUGAGGAACCUGAAAAAUCAAAUGGGACAACUUGCCAUAGCAAUGAGUAGCAGGACUCAAGGAAGUUUCCCUAGCAACACAGAAGACCCUAGGAGAGAGGGUAAAGAACACUGCAAAGCAAUUAAUUUGAGAUCUGGAAAAAAUGUUAAUAUCCUAAUUGAUGUGAUUAACAAGGGUAAGAAAGUUAAUUCCUCACAAAAACCACCUCAAGAUGGAAGCAUGUUACAACAACCCAACCAUCAAAACACUAGUUACAUGGGCCAAGCUACAGCAACUGCAGAGGGAGUUCAAUCAGAACAUGUUGAAAAAGAAGUUGCAACACCAGUAGCCACGGCCUACACCAAGCCAAACAAACAGAGUUUGGUACCUCCUAAAGCUACCCAGCAGUUUAGACAUCCACCACCUUUCCCACAGAGAUUCCAGAAGCAAAAAUAAGACAAACAGUUCAGUAAAUUCCUGGAAGUGCUGAAGCAAUUACACAUAAAUAUACCUUUUGUGGAAGCCUUGGAGCAAAUGCCAAAUUAUGUGAAAUUUCUAAAAGACAUCUUGGCACGAAAGAGAAUGCUGGGAGAGUUUGAAACUGUUGCUUUAACACAGGAAAGCAGUCAUAUGCUCCAAAGUAAGAUUCCUACAAAAGUGAAAGAUCCAGGAAGUUUUACAAUAUCAUGCUCUAUAGGAACUAGGUAUACUGACAGAGCACUUUGUGAUUUGGGAGCUAGUAUUAAUUUAAUGCCAUUACCUGUAUUUAAGCAGCUGGGAGUAGGGGAAUACAGACCAACAACAGUCACUCUGCAAUUAGCUGACAGAUCUCAUGCAUACCCUGAAGGAAAAAUUGAGGAUGUACUGGUGAAGGUGGACAAAUUCAUCUUCCCAGUAGACUUCAUUGUACUAGACUUCGAAGCUGAUAAAGAGGUGCCCAUUAUACUUGGAAGACAUUUUCUAGCAAUUGGAAAGACUUUGAUAGAUGUGCAGAAAUGAGAGCUCACCAUGAGAGUAAAUGAUCAGCAAGUCACAUUUAAUGUACUAGAGGCUAUGAGAAGUCCUGAUGAAGUAGAAGAUUACAAUUUCCUAAGUGUUGUGGAUUUUGUUGUAACAGACAGAAUGGACAGAUGCUGCAGUAAUGAAAUCAACAAAGUCACCACCUUUGAGAAUGUAGAAGAGGAAGAUGUUGCAGAAAAUCAGAUAGAUUGGAUGAAAGAAAAGAAAUCUGAUAGGCACAACAGGUUUAUUGAGCAUCUGAAUCUUUCAGACAGGAAAGUAAAAAUAACUUUACCAUAUAUUGAAUCACCUCCUAGUCUUGAAUUAAAAUUGUUAUCUUCACAUUUGAAGUAUGUUUAUCUUAGUCAAAACAACACACUCCCUGUGAUCAUUUCUUUUACUUUGGAUACAGGUUGAGAACAGAGUUUAGUAGAUUUGUUGGGAAAAUACAGUAGAGCAAUUGAAUGAACCAUGGAAGACAUCAAGGGGAUAAGCCUAUCAAUAUGCAUGCAUAAAAUCCUGUUAGAAGAUUGCUACAGCAAUUCGGUGGAGCACCAGAGAAGGUUGAACCCUAUUAUGAAAGAAGUGGUGAAGAAGGAAACCAUCAAAUGGUUAGAUGCUGGACUCAUAUACCCAAUAUCAGACAAUUCGUGGGCGAGCCCAGUUCAAUAUGUUCCAAAGAAGGGAGAGAUAACUGUGAUAGCUAAUGGGAGGGAUAACUGUGAUAGCUGAUAAGAGAGAUGAACUUAUUUCUACAAGGACAGUGACUGGAUGGAGAGUAUGUAUGGAUUACAGGAAGCUUAAUAAAGCCACAAAGAAAGACCACUUCCCACUCUCAUUCAUAGAUCAGAUGUUGGACAGACUUGUUGGAAAACAAUACUAUUGUUUCCUAGAUGGGUAUUCAGGCUACAACCAGAUUGCUAUAGCUCCAGAAGAUAAGGAAAAGACUACAUUUACUUGUCCUUAUGGAACAUUUGCCUUCAGAAGAAUGCUCUUUGGGUUGUGCAAUGCUCCAGCAACUUUUCAGAGAUGCAUGAUGUCUAUUUUUUCUGAUAUGGUAGAACAAACUUUAUAAGUUUUCAUGGAUGACUUUUCAAUUUUUGGAGUGACAUACAAUGAUUGUUUACACAACUUGGAAGAAGUUCUUAAAAGAUGUGAGAUGACUAACUUAGUACUUAAUUGGGAAAAAUGUUAUUUCAUUGGGCAAGAAGAAAUAAUGUUGGGUCAUAAGGUGUCCAAGAAAGCCAUUGAGGUAGACAAAGCCAGGAUAAAGGUAAUAAAUAAACUGCCACCCGCCACUUCAAUAAAGGGUAUAAGGAGUUUUUUGGGCCAUACUGGAUUUUAUAGAAGAUUCAUUAAGGAUUUUUCUAAGGUAGCUAAACCAUUAUGCUCAUUGCUGGAACAUGACAAGCCCUUUCACUUUGACAAAGAUUGUCAUCAAGCAUUUGGAGAAUUAAAGAAAGCUCUGAUCACUGCUCCAGUAGUUAUAUCUUUAGACUGGAUGUUACCAUUUGAAUUGAUGUGUGAUGCUAGUGAUCAUUCUGUUGGAGCAGUAUUAGGGCAAAAAAAGGAUAAGGUUUUUCACUCCAUAUACUAUGCAAGUAAAACUCUUACUCAAACUCAAAUCAAUUACACCACUACAGAGAAAGAGUUGCUAGUAGUAGUAUUUGUUUUUGACAAAUUCAGGGCCUACUUGGUGGGUACUAAAGUGACUGUAUAUACAAACCAUGCAGCCAUCAAAUACUUAAUUUCAAAGAAUGAUGCCAAGCCAAGAUUAAUCAGAUGGAUCUUAUUGCUUCAAGAAUUUGAUCUGAAAAUUAAAGAUAGAAAAGGGACUGAGAAUCAAGUAGCAGACCACCUGUCACGGCUGGAAGCAAAUACAAGUACAUUGACAAGAAAUGACAUCACUGAAACUUUUCCUGAUGAACAGAUGUUGGUAGUACAUCAAGCACAGAUGCUGCAGUCAGGAUCUCCAUGGUAUACAUAUUUUGCUAACUACUUGGAAGUGGAUUGCUACCACCUGAGCUGAAGUUCCAAGAGAAAAAGAAAUUUCUUCAUGAUGUAAGAAGUUAUCAGUGGGAUGACCCACAUUUAUAUAAGCUGUGCUCAGAUCAAGUAAUACGAAGAUGUGCUGCAGAAGGAGAGAUUCCCCACAUACUGGAGUCAUGCCAUGCUGCAGCAUAUGGAGGACAUUUUGGUGGUCACAGAACAGCUGCUAAAGUUUUGCAAUCAGGUUAUUACUAGCCUACCAUUUUUAAAGAUGCUUAUGAAUUUGUUAAAUAUUGUGACAGGUGUCAAAGGACAGGGAACAUAACUAGAAGACAUGAAAUGCCAUUGACCAAUAUUCUAGAAGUGGAAGUUUUUUAUGUAUAGGGAAUAGAUUUUAUGGGACCUUUUCCACCAUCCUUUGGGAACUUGUAUAUCCUUGUUGCUGUGGAUUAUGUCUCCAAGUGGGUAGAGGCUGCAGUAUUACCUACCAAUGAUGCUAAAGCAGUGGUGGUUUUUCUUCAGAAAAAUAUUUUUUCCAGGUUUGGCACUCCUAGAGCAAUUAUUAGUGAUGAGAGUACUCAUUUUUACAACAAAGUCUUUGCUGCAGCUAUGGUAAAAUAUGGAGUCAGACACAAGGUAGCAACAACAUAUCACCCACAGUCCAAUGGUUAGGCUGAAGUGUCCAACAGAGAAAUUAAAAAGAUCUUAGAAAAAAUGGUGAACCCAACAAGGAAGGAUUGGUCUUUGCAAUUACAUGACUCUCUAUGGACCUACAGAACAACAAAAAAACUCCACUUGGCAUGUCUCCUUACCGAAUUGUUUAUGGGAAGGCUUGUCAUUUGCCACUAGAGCUAGAGCAUAACGCACAUUGGGCACUGAAGAAAUUAAAUUGGGACAUUCAUGCUGCAGCAGAGCAAAGAAAGCUUCAACUUUGUGAGCUUGAUGAAUUACGGCUAUUUUCAUAUGAAAAUGCUAGAAUCUAUAAAGAAAGGACAAACCACUGGCACGACAAGCAUAUUCAACACAGACAGUUCAGCCCUGGUCAACUAGUGCUGCUCCGCAAUACAAGACUAAGAUUAUUUUCAGGAAAGCUAAAAUCAUGAUGGUUUGGAAUUUUUAGGCUGUUAAAAUGUUAUCCUCAUGGAGCUGUUGAUCUUUUAGAUGAACAAACAGGUCACAAAUUUAAAGUUAAUGGACACAGGGUUAAGCAUUACAUACACCCAGCAACAGAUUGUUCAAAGGAGGUUUUACUCCUUAAAGAACCCAGCUAUUGAGCAGUGAAAGAAGGUCAGGCUGAAGGACCUUAAAUCAAGCGCUCCAUGAGAGGCAACCCAUUGUGGAGAUAGCCACUUCAAACCAAGUUUGAUCAUCUUUGGUUUUGUUGACGGUUCUCCCUUUCUUCCAUUUUAUUUAAUUUUGUUCUUUAAUUUAAGUUACUUAGUUUUAUCUUUUCACAUUAUUGCAUUUUUUUUAUAUUGCUAUCAUUUGAUCUCUUUAUUUUUAAUUAUAUUUUUAGAAUCGAUUUUAGUUUUUGUGGUAAGUAUGAGUGGCAUUAGAUUUUCAUUUUAACCAGUGGGGUUGUAUGGUGACAGAGUGCAGAGGCAAGCCACGUGUCAAAGAGCAUUGGAGGGACGUAUGUAAUCGUUGCUAGAGCAAGCUGCAACACCUAAUAUUACCAUUACAGUAAAUUAAAAAUUAGAGCCUCUCACUUACCGUUGGAGAUAAAUCAUGAUAGAUGGCGGCAUGGAUUUGGAUAGCAAUUGCGAAGAAAUCUCCGAAAUUAAUGCAUUAAUUUCCCUGGCCUAUGUUUUAGGGAUAUACAUAUUAAAUUCAAAAUAUUUUCUUCCCUUAUUUAUCUGUAGUUACCAGAUUUAUCUUCACUUAAAGUCCACUAUAAAAGGGAGUCACUGUGCGUAGUGAUCUACGGCACUAUUCCCCAUCUCCUUCGCAAAUACAACUCUCAUAAUUCUUAACCUCUUCUUCUCAUUUUACUCUCAGAUUGUUACUGCUAUAGCAAUGCCAAGGUAUAAGAAAAUAGCCAGCCGCCUCAAAGAUCCUUCACGCUUCCAGAGUUACCACGCCGAAGAAAAAUAUGAAGAAUUCGUAAGAUUCUGGAAGAAAAGUGGUUUCAAUUUCCAGAGCGACUCAUCGGAAUUGUGCAAACAAUACACAAUGCUGCAGUAAAGCGUGGAUGGUUGGACUUUUGCAACCACCCUCGAAAUCCUGUGCUACCAGUAGUAAAGGAAUUUUACGCCAAUUUGGUAAGCCCUGAUCAGCACAACAUUUGGGUAAGAAACACACUUGUUCCAUUAGACUCCCGCGUUAUAAAUGCUUUUUAUAAUUUACCUGCUGAAAUUAAUUGUGAGUAUGCCAAGUUGCUUGAUAAAUUGACCCCAAAGAAAUGGAACACCAUCUUCAUAACUCUUACAAUUGAAGGGGCAUCAUGGGCUAACGAGGAAGGGCGUGUAGUUAAUAGGAUAGAUUUGAAACUUAUUGUUAAGGUUGGGUGAAAUUUUUGAAAUCUAGGCUUAUGCCAACCACUCAUACUACUACGGUUUCACAAGAGAGGUUGGUCUUGUUAUAUGUCAUUGUUCGAGGGCUUCUCAUAGAUGUAGGUAGCAUCAUCGAAAAAGAAAUCAGGGAUUGUGCAGUUAAGAAUCAUAAAACUGAUGCUCUACUAUUUCCUUCGCUCAUCACCAGCAUUUGUGUAGUAUCCGGUGUUCGUCUUGACGUGAGAAAUGACCAUAUCAAGAAUGAUGGUGCCUUUACGACACGUACCAUUGAUAGAGUUGUUGGUGAGAGUACUGGAACAACAACUGAACCAACUACUGUAACAAGAGCAAGACGAGUUAUUGGUUUAGAAUAAACAAUUCAGGUGCUCAGCAAAGAUCAGCAGAGGGAAAAUGAUCGGUUUUGGAGCUAUUUACAGCACCUGAACAACCAACUACACUAAUUUGCUCUGUACAUGAAACACACUCACCGGAACUUCCUUGAUUCAUUGCUCCAGCAAUACAAUUUUGACACCAACACCACAGGUACUCCAGCAGCAGCCAGUGAAGAAGCCACUGCCACAGAUGAACUAGAAGAAGAAGCUGCAGCCGAACCACAAGCAGAGGUAGAAUCAGAAGAUGCUGAAACAUCUGAUCAACCUGAGGAAGAAGGUGACAAGUCUGCAACUGAUAGCUCACCCAUAGAGGCAGAGGACAACUCUGAGAAAGAACGUGAGGAACUUUCCAUUCCAACUCAUUCCAAAACCAGGAGGAAGAGGAAAACCCUGAAGAGGAACCUUCCAUUCCAGUCAUUGCGGGCAAGGACAAGGGCAAGGGCAAGGGCAAGGUAAAAAUAGCAACAUCUCCAGCCUCUGAAGAUGAAAUGGAGCAAAUCGAUGCAGAGCUAGCUGCUGCAGUAACCAGAGUUACGCCUACACCUGCAGAAGCCAAACAGCUACUUGAUAUCAUUGCUGCCAUCACAGCUGAAGGUCAGGCAGCUGAUGCCUCAACUCCAAUUCCUCCACAGAUGACUCCUAGCCAACCUGUUCGUACCAGUCCGUGAUAAUCCAGUAAAAGAAAAGGCAGUACGUAUAAAGGCACUGCUACAACAGCCUCGCCUCAACCAAAACGGACCAGGUCGGUGUCAACUACACAACCUACCCCAGCCGCAACUCCUCUCGCCAGCCCAGUGACGAAAAAGACAAAGACAUUGCCAGUCACUUCCCCACAAGUUUCACCAAAUGAUAAGCUGCGCAGUGCAUCCAAGAAACGCUGAUAUCAUCCCGUCAUUUGCAGCAGUCCCAACCACAUGGGAGUAUCCCUACCUUGCUAGUUAAUUUAUUGUUAAAAAAAAACUUUUCUUUCAGUUUUAUUGUUAAAGAAAAACUUUUAUUUCAGUAUGUUUUUCAAAUUUUGUGGUAUUUUCUAAUGUCUUCCAUGUCCUUGUCCACUUGUGUGCCUUUGUUAUGUAUGCUUGUGAGGACAUAGCAACUCUCAAGUUUAGGGGGGUUGUGUUUCCAAAUGUUUGUGUUUAUGUGUAUGCUUGUGUUGUGUGUUGUGUGAAGCUCUGUUAUCUAAUAUUUGUGUAUGGAUUUGAAAACCUAAUGAAGAUAUAUUGAGUGUUAUUCAAGAUUUAAGAGAAUGCCAAGUAGAGAUAGUUAUAGAUGGAGGUUGAAAUUAUGUCCUGACACUUAGACUUUGGUUGAAUUGUAUGAGAUUGCUAGAGCAAAGCCAAAAGAAUAGAAAAGAGCUUAAGUUUGGGGGGGAAAAUAAGUUGAUUGACUGUGAUAUCUAUGUAAUAAACUCUGUUUCAAUGGCUCAAGUUGCUGAAUAACCAGAUCUUAGUAUGUACCCCAUAUGCAGAAUUGUGUUCAAAGGUAGCAAGAGUUAUGAGCAAUGCUGUAGCAUUUAAAAAAAAAAAAGCCCUCUGUCUAAGGCAUUGAGUAGCCAGGUCUGUUCAUGAGCCCCAUGUUCAGCCUUGAAUAAAAAAUAUCUCUAGAUAAGACUAUAUUACAGAUAUUGCUACAGCAACUCUGAUCUGUGCAUGGUUUGAGUAAUUGGGUGUCAUCAUUACAAUUGAUUGACAUUCACAUGAAAAAUAAAUGUUGCAGUGAGGAAGUUGAAUACUCUCCAGUUUCUCAAUCUUAAAAUCAUCACAGUUCGAGUAUGUGAAAUUUAUGCUGCCCCAUAUAUGAUGAAGUUUUAUCACUGCUGAAAUUCAUGCAGUCUCUUAGUGAUGUUAUAGCAUCUCUAGAAUACAAUCAAAAUAGCACACACACACAAUGGACAGAAAGAAGCUUAAGUCUAGAACUGGUUUACUAUAGUCACGUUGCAUGAUUGGGAUUGUGAUCUGAAGGUGGAAGAAUCCUUGCAAAUUUGAUAAAAGAACUAAAGUUAUUUUGCAUGAUUGUUUGUGUGAAGUAUUAGUAUGUUGUCAUUACUUGAGGACAAGUAAUGGUUUAAGUUUAGGGGUGUGAUAACUCUAGGAAAUGAGAGUUAUUACAUCAAUUAUAGACUUAAAUCAAGAUUACUUAGAGAACAAAUAAGGUGUUUUUAUUACAUUUUGGUUAUAUUUUGCAUAAACAUUCAUUUUAGUUAAGUUUUAAUAAGUUUUGUUUGAAUCAAAGUAAUUGUUGCUAAAAACAGGUGCAUAAUUGUAGGUUUUUAGAAAGUCUUAAUUCAUGAGAGGAUGGUGAGACAGUGGAUGAGCAAGAGGAGGAAAGAAGAUAGCUGCAGAAGAAGUAAAGCACAAUCGGGAAUAGUGCAGUGUUGUAGCGGAUGUUAGAGCAACCAGUGCUAUAGCAAUCUGGGAGCAAUGCGGGAGAAAAUUUAGGCGCGGGUCAGCUGCAGAAUCGUGAUUUGCAUGUUUCCUAAUUUAACUCAUGCACGCCUAUGGACUUUUGUUUUAUCCUAGUUUGCAGUAUAAAAGAGAGGCGUUCACGACAUAGAGAGGCGGCAAGAGGAAUUAUCAUAAAAAUCAUUAAAGAGAAAAAGAGAAGAAGAUCAAAAUUGAAGAGUGCUGUUUCGGCAACAUUGAGGAAUCUGGCAGAAUUAUUCGAAUUUGUCUUUCACUGUGCUCAACUGAUAUUUAUCUUCUUCCUUUGAUUGUUUUAAUGUAUCCCGUGAACAACAUAUUUAUGUUUUUUUUUCUUAUUCAAAAUAUGAACUAUAUUUGCUUGUAGUUGAGUGACAAACAAUCCAAUGGGUUCUUCACUGUUCUUAUGUGUUUGAUUUUUCUACAAAUUUUUUUUCCAAGUCCAUUGAUUUUCUGCCUCUCUUACUAAUCAUGUUAGGCUUGGAAAUAUCCACUUUGGUAUUAUUAUUUUAUAAAUUUUAAUUAUUUUAAUUAUUUAUUAAUUAUAUUAAUUAUUAUUAUUAUUAUUGUUAUUAGUUUUAUUAUUUUAAUUAUUAUUAUUGAUUAAGACUAGAAAGUGUACAUUUGAUCAAAGUUAAAAUUAUCAUUUUCCACUUACAUUGUUGAUAAGACUAACAAUGGCAUCAAAUUUACAAAUCCCUAACACAUUUUAUGAAUUUUCUAUUUUUAUUGGUUUUAAAGUAUGAUUUUUGUGCUUUGUAGAUAAAUCCCUAAAUUCAUGAUGUUUGGAUCAAAAAAGUGAACGUGAAAUUUAGAUUCUGGAGACUCAAAAUCCUUUAGAAGAAUUGCUACCCUUUUGAUCCAACAUUAAUUAUAAACGGUUGAGAUCAUGCUAUGUGUCUAAGCUAAAGUGCACCUUAUUGUACUAGAUUUAACAGUUAUCAAUUUGAUAGAUCAACUAUCUUGACAAAUGAGCCUAUGGAAGAUCUCAUUUUGACCUCAUUUAUAGCCAUUGAUUAUAUUGAAUUCGACUAUUCAUAAUGGUUGCAAUUUUAAACCCUUGGAUUAUAUUAGAAAAAGUUUCCUCAUAAUCGAUUCCCUCUUUCUGAGUAAACCCUUUGGCUACUAAUCUUGCUUUAAAUGUUUCCACCCUUCCAUCUACUCCUCUUUUUCUCUUGUAGAUCCACUUGCACCCUAUAGGUUUUACCUCAUUUGGUGCCUCUACAAGUUCCCAGACUUUAUUGGAAUACAUAGAUUCUAUUUCUUGAUUCAUGGUCUUUUUCCAAAAUUCAACAUCUCUAUCUAUUAGAGCUUCGUUGUAACUAGUGGGAUCUUGUACAUGUUCAUCUGAGAUAGCCGUAUAGGUUUCUCCUAAAAGCAUGUAUCUUGCAGGUAACUUAGUUACCUUCCCACUACGACGAGGUUCUAAAAGUGAUGGUUGUUCAGGGUUAAUCCUGUGUUGAUCAUCUGGUUGUUGCUGUUCUUCCUGUUCUGUAACAGGCGUUGAAAGCUAAGCAUCAACCUGAUCACCUGACAGUUCUUCGAGUAUUACCUUACUCUUAGGUUUGAAGUUAUUCAUAUAGUCUUCCUCGAGGGAAGUGAAAUGUGUGCUCACGAUCACUUUCCUAUCUUGAGGACUAUAAAAUAAACCUCCCAUUGUUCCUUUGGGAUACCCCACAAACAUACAAACCUCAGAACGUGAAUCCAUUUUGUCUGCCUUUGGUUUCAGCACAUGUGCUGGUGAUCCCCAAAUAUGGACAUGUCGUAAACUUGGUUUGCGACCUGACCAUAAUUCUAUUGGGGUUUUAGGCACUGACUUAGAUGGAACUAAGUUCAAAAGGUAAACUACAGUUUCCAGUGCUAGUCCCCAAAAAGAGAUUGGUAAUGACGAAUAACUAAGCAUAGAUCUCACCAUAUCCAAAAGAGUUCUAUUUCUUCUUUCAGCUACCUCAUUUUGUUGUGGUGUUCCCGGGGCAGUCAACUGAGAUAUAAUCCCAUUUUCAACUAGAUACUCUUUGAAAUCUCCUGAGAGAAAUUCACCACCUCGAUCAGAUCGAAGUUUCUUUAUGUUCUUAUCUAAUUGCUUUUCUGUCUCAGCCCUAUACUCUUUGAAUUUCUCAAGAGCUUCAGACUUAUGACGCAUCAGAUAAACAUAACCGUAUCUUGAGUAAUCAUCAGUGAAAGUGAUGAAAUACUCAUAACCUCCUCGAGCUUGUACAUUGAUUGGUCCACAUACAUCUGUAUGUACCAAUUCAAGUGGUACUGUUGCACGUACUCCUUUAGCCGAGAAUGACCUUUUGGUCAUUUUCCCUUCUAAACAGGAUUCACAGAGUGGCAAUGAUUCAUUUUCUAAUGGACCCAAGAGCCCAUCUUUGAUCAUUCUCUGUAUUCUAUUUUGGUUUAUAUGACCCAAGCGUAAAUGCCAGAGGUAACAUUGGUUGGAAGAAAUAUUUUUUUUCUUAGAUAAAUGUGUAUGCUCAUCAUUAUUUAUCACUGUGUCAUGCAUAUAAUGGAUCAUUGGACUUAAAUGAUAUAAAUUAUCUUCCAAUGUACUAGAACAAAUAAGUCUCUUAUUAUGAAAAAUAGAAACAGAGGAUCCAAAAUUUACAGUGUACCAUUGCUUUGACAAACAAGCUAAUGAAAUUAAAUUCCUCUUAAUGUCUGGAACAUAAAGACAAUUAUUCAAAACUAAAGUCUCAUUAUUAAAAGAUAAUAAAACAGAUCUAGUCUUCACUGCUGACACGAACUGUCCUGUCCCUAACUGCAGCUUGACGCUUUCUUCACUUAUUUUCCUGGUUUCCUGAAACCAAUAAAGUGAAUUACAAAUAUGAUUAGUUGCUCCUGAAUCCAACACCCAAGUGUCAAUAGGAUUCUGAACUAAACAGGCCUCAAUUACAAAAAGAUUUCCCAUACCUGAUUUCACAAUCUUAGGGCAAUCCUUUUUCCAGUGACCUUUCUGUCCACACUUAAAGCAUUUGCCUUUCGGCUUGCCAUCUUGCUUGGUAGACGGUUUCUUUUUCCCAGCUUUCUUCUUACCUUUGCCUUUCGGCUUAGGCCCAGAAGAUGAACUUUUUUCAGUAAUAUUUAUGCUUCCCAGAGAUUUCUCAGCACGAUAGAUCUCUUCAGCAGAAUGGAGUUCGUUAAUCAAUUCAGUUAAGGUCAUGUUUCUUUUGUUCAUGUUAUAAUUGACCUUAAACUCCUUGAAUGUUUCUGGUAGAGAUUCUAGCACCAUGUCAAUCUUUGAGUUAUCAUCGAUUUGUGCUCCUUGAAUCUCAGCCUCAUUCAAAUAGUCCAUCAUUUUGAGGACAUGAUCAUGAACUCUUAUGCCCUUCCCCAUUUUACUGUUCAUAAUUCCUUUCAGCGCUGCUUGUCUUGCUGAGCGAGUACUCUGCCCGAACAUCUGUUGGAGACUAUCCAUUAUUUCAGUGGCAGUCUCCAAGUUCUGAUGUUUGCUCUGCAGAAUAUUAGAAAUCGAGGCUAAAAUGUAGCACUUUGCCAUUUCAUUGGCCUUUUGCCAUUUCUCAUAAAGCCUCCUCUAAUUUCUAUGAGCAUCAUCCGCUGGAACUGGAGGGCAUGGCUGGGUUAAGACAUAUUUAUAAUUUUCAGCAGUCAGGACAAUGAAUAGAUUUCUUUUCCAAUCUAUAUAGUUCUCCCCAGUGAGUUUGUUUUGACUCAGAAUAAUAGUAAGUGGGCUCAGGGAAGACAUUUUCUGAAAAAUAAAACAUCCAUGCAUAAAUAAUUUGAAAUAAUAUUCACAAUAAAUGACAAAAAAGCAUAAAACCAUAAAUGCAUUUUAAUUUAUUGUAACGAUAAUCUAGUUCCGCUUUGACAAGCUAUCCGGUGGGGAAGUCAUGUCUAUACUUACUAGACCCAAUUACCCAUUGGAUUAUUUACUUUCAUGUAGAGACAUGAUAAAUAAUUAUCGUUAUCUUUUUGGGCCUAAAUUUGUUAACAGAGCUUCGUUGGGAAGGUUAAUAACAAAUUUUAGUUGAGUGUAUAACCAUUAUUUCAAUCUAUGUAUUUUUCAUAUCAAUAGUCACCGUUGGGGUGAACAAUCGAUUGAAAAAUAUUUCAAUUUUAUCUUUGAAGAAGUUCAUCAAAUAAAAUAUCUAAUAUAUAUACCCUCCGAAGGGAGCAUCACCGUAUCAUGAAGUCGAGGUAUAUAUAUAAUUUUAUUAUUGAAGUAACAAUGGAGCCCGUGGAAAAAUUAUCUUGAAUUUUCCCUCUCCCACUCAAUAUUUUAAAAUUGGCUUUUCCUUUUUAAAACAUACAUAUUGUUAAUUGCAUGCUUCCUAUAAUAUUAUCUAGAUGAUAUCAAAUAUUAUUAAGCAUACAGAAAUUUCAAACAAUAUUAUGAAAUUCAUUAUUAAUGAAUGACAUGUAUCAUUAUGCAUAGAGUGGCACUACCUAUUCUAUAUGACAUUGUUAUCAUGGCAUGUAAUCAUCCAAAACAUAACAUAUAGAAAAAUAAUUAAAUAAUCUUAAUUCAUAGCUUUCCUAAUAAUGAAAAAUACAUUAACCCUAAGCCUAAUCUUCAUUGGGCUUCUUGUCAAUGUCCAUCUUUCAUAAUCUUGUCUUUGUUAAUUGGCUAGGGGAAAUUGGAUUUUUAAAUUUAUAAUUGGUCCAAUUUUAAUUUUUGGAAGGAAUAAAUAAAUAAUUAAAAUUUUUUACUAAAAUAAAUUUUUUGGACCAAAAAUAAAUUUAUUGUGUUCAAUUUUAUCCAUGCAUUUUAAUCCAUUAAGGCCAAAUAUCAAUUGGGCCUAAAACUAGGAUUCUUUAAGCCCAAAACUGUUUUUGGACUUACAUGCAAAAAAUUAAAACUUAUCAGCCCAAAGAGAAAAUCUAUAGAACUAUAGGGAUCGUAAUGAUAAAAAUCAUUAAAACCCUAAAUCCAUAUUUUUCUCUCCCCAGCCGCCAUCACCACAAAGGGCAGCCACUGUUCACAAUUUCCAGCCAUCUCUGACGUCGAGUUUGCUGCCGCCAUCGCACCGGAAACGUACCAAACACCUCCCUCGCGCUGCACGGAAAGCUCCUGCUCGCGCUGCCUGCUGCGUGUGCUGGCUGUUGCACGCGAGCGUGCGCUAGCUGCUGCACGCACAACGUGCAUUGCUGGCUGCGCGAGCAGCACGCGCUGGCUGCUGGCUUGCAGCGCGCGCUUGCUGGCAGCAUGUGCUGCUGGCCGCGCGCUGCUUGCUGUUGGUUGCCGCUGUCAAAAUUUUCGGCCUCCGUCGCUUUGAUCUUGAAAAUCCGAGAUUAAUUUACAAAUUUCCUAGGCCAAUUUUUGGCUUACAAAAAUUCUAUAACAGUAAAAUAAAUCAAGAGGGAAACAUGAUGAUAAAAAACUACCCCUCUUAUGUUCAGGAUAAGCUCAGAUCAGCAUCGGAUCCAUUUCCCAAUUUUUCUUCCCCAAAUUCUGUUUCUGUACACUGUAAGUAUUUUUCAUCCUCAUUUUCUUGUAUCCAUUUUGCGUUAUGUCACCAUUUAUUUUCAUCUCAACAUUUGGUUUAAAUUAGAUCACCGGAGGAAAUACGAUGGGAAGAACACAGUGUUAGAGAAAAAUCAGGUUUUUAAAUUUUUUAUAAAACCUUUUAAGGACCGCUCUCAUAUAAUGUAUAAGAAUUUGUAAUCUAGAAAUCGUACCUUGAAAAUCCGAUUUGCCUUUUUUUCCGUUGAAGUGAUUUAGGCUCCUAGAUCACGAUCCGCCACCACCACUCCUGUUAGAUCACGAACUGUCACCAAUGAUCUUCCAGGUUAUGACUCAGGUUCGAUCUGCACUUGACGUGUGGGCGCCUUUAUCACUACCAAAGCAACUAGCACGAGAAAUUUUUUCUCUCAACAAUAGAGAGAAAAAUCUUUUUCUCUGAUCUGUAUAAAGUAGCUUCUCUUCUUUCUUUAGAGAAAAAUAAGCCUUUUAUAUCACCCUUUAGUGAAAAUCCUAGGCUCCAAAUAAUGGCCAAAAUAAAACUCACGUUACUUUUCAUUUAAUAGGGGACCCACCAUGUAAAAUAACAUAAGGCCCUUUACACAUAAGCUUAUUAAAUGGAGCCUCCCACUAAAUGAUAUAUUUAGGCUUUUGACCCAAAUAGCUAGUUAUCUUGCUUAUUAGUCCAGUAAUGGUGCAGUCAAUUAAAUGAGCUAACCCGGGGAUCAUUUGGGAACAUACAAUAGUGGCUAUAACAAUUAGGCCUGUAAUUAAACUAGCCUAAUUAUUUAAUUCCAAAUCUACUCCACUAAAAGAUUGGAACUAACUUCCAUAAUUGUAUGCUCGAAUAAUAAUUCGUCCCAAGCCACAUUGAUUUCUUUACUGCACAAUCCUUUGUACCACAUCGUUAAUUAAAUUGAUAUCUCAACUGUCCAAUCAAUUUAAUAACAUCUUAUUCCUUGAUCCUUACUGGUUUUCUCUAAUGAUCAUUUUCAACAUACUAAAUAUGUUGACACACUCUGGCCAGAGAAUUCUAUGAUCAAGUGCCGAAAACCCAUCAAGAGAUGUGUUGUACAAAUUCUAUAUUGUUAAUCCAUAACUCCAAUACUCAUAAUUGCUCCCACCAAGAUACCGAGUAAUCUUGACCACAAGGAUGUGUCUUGCCCAUUGGUAACUCAAAUGGAAUAACAAUUACAAUCAUGAAAUCAUAAUUAACUCAAGAUUAAGAUUACAGUAAAAUCAAUGCCUAUGAGAUUUAAUAAGUCUGACAGUUAUUACAAAGUUAAUUAAAUCUCAUAUGUGAUCCUGUUCAAUGUAGUCGUACUAUAUCAACAAAUUCAUACAUGAUUAAGACAAAUCAUUCAAUGAAUUUAUUACAGUCUAUACCUAAAUAAAGUGCCCAACUUUAUUUAUCAACUGCGAACUAAAUUUAUUUAAUCAUAAGAUAACUUGUAUUUAUGUCUUCUGUGAAUCCACAUGGUGAUCACAUAAAUACAUAUAAUAUGAUUAAAUGGACUUUAAUACAAAUAUUAAUGCAAUUAAGAUAUUUGAAUAAAAUACCUCAUCUAUUUUAUUAAUCAAAAAAAUUAUUUAUUACAAUUAAAAAAACAUAUAUGCUUUUAAAGAGCAUAUUUUCCCAACACACAGAUCAUCUCAAAGAGCACCGUCUGUGCAGCAAUUCACAAGGAACCAAACCUUAGAAUCGAUUUAACUCUAUGGGAUCUUAAGCUCAUUCAAUUUGAUACCAUUGAGAAAGGACUUCUCUUCCGCAAACCUUCAGAGGAUAACACCGAUACCAGCAGCUUGAACUUGAUCCACCACCUCAAGACCUCCCUUUCACGUACGCUAGACUACUUUCCCCCACUUGCCGGUCGCCUAGCCACCAUCGAGCAUCGUGAUGACAGCAACACAAUUUCUGUUUACAUAAAUUGCAACAAUGCCGGCGCAGAGUUUGUGCACGCCAUGGCCGAUGGAGUCUCUGUUGCAGAUAUCAUUACACCUGUUUAUGUUCCUAAUGAAACUGUUUACUCUUUUUUCCCACUAAAUGGAGUAACAAACUGUCAGUGUAUCUCCGAGGCCAAGCCGUUGCUUGGGGUUCAAGUGACAGAGCUUGUGGACGGAAUCUUCAUCGCUUGCACUAUCAAUCACUCCGUUGUUGACGGCACUUCCUUUUGGCAUUUCUUCAAUUCCUGGUCUGAAAUCUCACGGGGUUCUGAUUGUAUUUCAAAACUUCCAGUUCUCGAACGUGGAUUUCUCUCUGAUUCUGAAUAUUUUCCCAGUCGCCUCCCUCUCUGGAGCAUUGAACCUUCCGGAACUCACACUCCACCGCCUAAUUUGCGACAAAGGGUUUUCCACUUUACAAAGGAAAACAUUGCAAAACUCAAAGCAAAAGCCAAUGCUGAGAUUGGUAGUACCAACAAAAUCUCCUCUCUCCAAGCAAUCCUUUCCCAUAUUUGGCGAUCUUUUACUCGUAAUCGAUCUCUUGAUCCUGAUGAAGAAGUUCAUUUCAUGUUAGGAAUGGGAGUUAGACAAAGAUUGCAACCACCACUGCCACCAGAAUAUUUUGGAAAUGCAGCUCAGGUACUGGGAGAGUUCGCAUCCAUGAAAGCGAGAGAUCAACUUGAGCAAGGGCUUGGAAAUGUGGCAUUGAAAAUGAACAAGUUCAUCGCUGCGUACACAGACGAAAAGAUAAAGAACUUCUUGGAGUCUUGGGGAAAAAACCCUGAGAUCCUAACAUGGGAUAGCCUGCCGACGAAGAAUAAUGCUUGCUUCGUAAGUAGCUCGCCGAGGUUCAAUUUCUACGGUAACGAUUUCGGGUGGGGAAGACCAAUUGCAGUAAGGAGUGGUCCAGCGAACAAGGCUGCUGAGGGGAAGAUCACCCUGUUUGCCGGAGUGGAAGAAGGGAGUGUCGACGUUGAAGCUUGCUUUUUGCCUGAGACACUGCAAGGUAUGGGAAAUGAUACAGAAUUCAUGCAAUUGGUAUCUUAAUUGUUAAAAAUCUUCCGUGUUCUGGGGCUUUGCUCAUUAACCAUUAUAUCAAUGAAAGCUUACUUUUAAAUACAUUUUUUAUGAAUUAAUGUAGAUCAAAUUUAGUAUGACAUGUUUAUGUUUCUGAUCAAAUGAUGUAUUUUCAUUGGUCAUGUGAGAAGUAAAAGAGAUCCAACCGCAAGUUGCUUCUACCAAACAUUGACUUUCAUAUUAUUGGCGUGCCUUGGCAAAAGCCCAAUUAGGAUUUCAAUUAAAAUAUAUCUAAUUUUGAUAUUUUUGAAAAAUAAAGCCAUGGUGAAAUAAUUGACAUAACAUCAAUAUUAUAUCAGUAGUUCAGUGAUUUUUUUUUUCUUUUUGGGUACUUGCACCUUGCUGAUAUAGACUUUGUAAAUUAUUCUGAAUGCUUAACAUAUUUCUUUUAAUGUGAUCAAUAAAAGUUUUAAAAGCAGUCUAACAGAUUAAUGAUAAAUAAAUUUGUUUCAUAUUAAAAAUAAUUCUCGAUGACUUGAUAAUCCUGUGAAGAAGUUCCUUUCGAACUAUCGAUAGGAGUUAGAAUAAGAUUGCAACCAUCACUGCCGCCUGAUGAAUAUUUCGGAAAUGCAAUUCUAUAAAGCGGGAGAUCAAAUUGAAUAUGCGGCACUGCGAAUGAGCAAUGUUAGUGAAACUGAUAAAAUGUGAAGAACAGAGGAAACGAGUACAUGCUGUAACUAUGUAUUUGACAGCAGCUGAAUAGCUCACUCAGCUGACGUGGCUUAGUUAGUUAUUUUGAUUUAAGCAUUCUUCACAUGUGUGUAACAAAUUGCCAACAAUUAGUAACAAGUUGCUUUCACUUGCUAUAUAUAUGUAUAAUCUGUACUCAUUCGAUUAAUGAGAAGUUUUUACAAGUUUCCAUUAUGAGUUUUUCAUUCAUUUUCCUUUUAACUUUCUCGCUUCCCAAACACAAAUACUUGAGUUUCUAUCAUGGUAUCAGAGCCAUCAAUGGUGUUGUAAAAAAUUUUAAUAUACUCGUAAGCGCACGAAUGUAGAAUAAAAUAAUGGUAAUAAGGUCAAACCCACAGGGAUUAUUAUAAAUUAAAAAGUCUAAUUUAAAUAAAUUAAUAUUAAUUCUAACCUAGUUGAACAAAUUGAGUUUCUAAUAAAAUUUAACCAAUUAAACUAAGAAAACAAUUAAAACAAAGGAGAAUUUAAUAAGACAAAAAUUACUAAGGUUUCAGAAUCCACCACUAAUCAACUAGUAAUUACCUAAUUAUUAAUUAAUCCCCAAUUUUAGAGUGACAACUCGAAAUCAAUUUAUAUCAUCUCAUGGAUAUAACAAUUAAGCCCAAAUAAAAUUAUUCUUGUGUUGGUUCUUUUUCUUCUUAAUAAUAUGAUAUCUAAGCAUCCCAUGUAAACAUAUUGAAUAACAAAGAGUCAAAGUUUUCCGAAGCACUCUGUGUAAACAAUUUAAUGAAAGACACAGAAUCAAAGAUAAUCAUGUAUAAACUUUAAAGACUCAAGCAUAAAUUUAAUCGGAUAUUAAUUGUAACAAUCAAUAAUACAUGACAAAAUUGAUGAAAAUUUUUUAAUAACAUUCAACUAAUCAUGUGAAACACGAACCAUAAAUAUUAAAGAACAUAUGUAGAGAAUUAAUUAAAUAAAAAGAUAAUUAUUUCAUUAAAUAGGGUUUCAUCUUUAACCUCAGUAUAAAAAAAUUAGUUAGACAUACUAAAAUAGAGAAUAACAAAUAAAAUAAAAUCAACCAUGGAGAAGCCGAACUGUUGUUGCUGCUGCCGCUCCUCUUCAAAGUCAAAUACUCCCUCUUUUUCUCUCCUUUGGCGGCUGCCUUCUCAAAAGCCAAAGUUGGCUUUUUAUAAUGCUUAGCCACCCACUGACUUAACAAAGCCCACUCACCAAGCCCUUUUUAAAUUGUUUCCUUAUUAAGGGUUGAAAACUAGCCACACGUUUAACUUAAAAGUAAAAGGCCAAUUAAUAGUUUCUUCUUUUAAUGCCCUGCACAUGCAUUCCAAAUUGCCAAAUCUUUGCUUUCCAAAUGCAUGCCCACCGUUCAUUAUUUGAUGAGAUUGACUUCCAAUUUUGGUCUUCUUGACUUCCAUUAAUUCUUGACUGUAUUUUUGUCUUCUAAUUUAAUCUUUAUUCCUUCCCAAUUUGAACUUCUUCAUGCCCUUUUUAUCCUUAAUCUUCAAUUAAUUUCCUAUUCAAUAAAAUAAUUCAAUUAAUUAAAAAUAACAAAUAAAAAUAACUAGUAAAUAUGUAAUUACGGGUAAAGUAUGUAUAUAAAUUAUGAUCAUCAAAUGGCAAGCAUGAUUCAAUCCAAUACAUCCUCCUCUCCUUCAAAUAAUUUCCUACCUCAUAUCCUUCGUGCACCUCCUCCCAUUGGUCAUCCUAUGAUGACCAGAUCCAAGAAUGGCAUAUUCAAGCCAAAGUCUUAUCUAUGUGCUCUUUUAGCCUAAUCAUUUGAACUUUCCUCUGUCUCUCAAGCUUUAUCUGAUCCAUUAUAGUUCAAAGCCAUGCAAGAAGAAUUUCAAGCCUUACAAGCCAAUCACACAUGAGACUUGGUACUACCUACUGCUCCUGUUAAAGUGGUUGGUAACAAAUGGGUUUUUAGAAUAAAAUACAACCCUAAUGGGUCAAUACUAAAGUACAAAGCACGGCUGGUUGCUAAAGACUUCCAUCAGAUACAUGGUAUUGACUACACUGAAACCUUUAGUCUAGUAGUAAAAGCCUCUACUGUCAGCAUUACUGUUAUGAAUAAUUGGGUUCUUCGGCAAAUAAAUGUCAAUAAUGCUUUUCUAAAUGGUAUUCUUGAUGAGGAAGUGUAUAUGACACAUCUCGAAGGAUUUAUUGAUCCUCAUAAACCUUAGCGCAUAUGCAAAUUGAGGAAAGCUAUCUAUGGUUCGAAACAAGCUCCAAGAGCUUGGUUUGCCAGACUUAAAACAACAAUGCUUUCUCAGUGGCAUUUUUAGAGCUCCAAGUCAGACAAUUCACUCUUCUAUAAGAGAGAAAAUGGUCAUUUACUUUUGGUUUUGGUAUAUGUGGAUAAUAUUAUUGUUAUUGGUUCUAGCUCAGCGAAAGUUCAACAAGUAAUUCAAGAUAUGUAGAAGACUUUUGCCUUGAAGGAUCUAGGAGAACUCAACUAUUUUUUAGGCAUUGAAGUCUCAAAACUUUAAAAUGGCAUUCAUUUAUCCCAGGCUACGUACAUUGCUGAUAUUUUGGCAAAAGAUGACUUAGUUAAUUGUAGUCUAGUGCCAACACCUAUGUCUACAGGUCAGCAACUCACCAAAGACUCAGGUUCUGAAAUUUCAAAUAUUUCUCAGUAUAGAAGCAUUAUUAAGGCCCUACAAUAUGUUACUCUCACUAGACCAGAGAUAGCCUUUACUGUCAAUAAGCUUAGCCAGUUUCUAUCUAAUCCUAGAACUACACAUUGGGAGGCUUGCAAAAGGUUGUUAAGAUAUCUAAAAGGCACAAUUCAUUUUGGUCUUCAAUUUUACAAUUGUGGAGCUAUGCAAAUCAACUCUUUUACAUAUUCAGACUGGGCUUAUGAUCGGGAUGAUAGAAAAUCAGUAGUUGGUUUUGCUAUUUAUCUAGGUGCCAAUCUGGUUUUAUGGUCAUCCACGAAACAAUUAGCUGUCUCAAGGUCCAGUACAAAAGCUGAGUACAGAGCUUUGGCUCAUGCUGCAUCAGAGGUCAUUUGGAUAUAGUUUUUACUUGCUGAGCUAAGAAUUCAGCUAAGUACUACACCAAUUAUGUGGUGUGAUAACCAGGGAGCAAUUGCCUUAGCUUAUAAUUCAGUUUAUCAUGCUAAAACAAAGCAUGUUGAGCUGGACAUUCAUUUCAUCAAAGAUAGAGUGGGAUCAAAAGAAAUAGCUAUUUGUUUUGUGCAUAGUGAAGAUCAAACAACAAAUGUCUUAACUAAGGCUCUUACUUUCACUUAGUUCCAUUACUUGCGCAGUAAAUAAAAUGUUUAUCCCAGAAACACCAGUUCCAGAGGGGAUAUAAGUAAAGAUGAUAAUUUGUGAAGAAUAAAAUAAGGGAGUAAUGUGAAAAGCAGAAACUCCAGCUUAAGAGGGGAUGUUAGUGAAACUGAUCCCUUGGAGUCCUGGAGACAAAACCUUGUGGUCUUAACAUGGGAAAGCUAGAAGACGAAAUCUUAUUGGUUUCCAAAUAGUUCGUCGAGGUUCAAUAGCAAUGAGAAGUGGUCUAGGGAAUAAAGCUUAUGGAAAUAUCACUUAGUUUACAGGAGUGGAAGAAGGUAAUAUCGACAUUUAAGCUUGCUUUUUACCGGAGACACAACAGGGUAUGGGACAUGAUACAGAAUUCAUGCCAUCUACGUGUUAACGUCUUUGGUGAUCCUAAAAUAUUACUUUCUAAUCAUUCAUUUACACGUUAUCACGUGCAAAUGAAUGGUAUCAUAAUUAGUUAAAAGCACACAAAUGAUAAAAAGUGAAUUCAUUACUAUAACUAUGCUUUAUUUAGGCACCUCAUGCAAUAAAUUAUUUCAUCUCAAAACUCAAUUUAAUAAUUAAUCCCAUGAACAUCCAUUCGUUAGAGCAUGACAACAAAAUUUAUGUAUGGCAUCUGUGGUAGAGCAUAAUAGUUGUAGAGAAAUGGAAAUUGAAAGGAAGGAGCUGGCAGCUUAUAACUGUGAUUCAAGUUUUUGCUUUAGAAUCUUUCAGAAAAAAAAAAAGUUUUUGCUUUAGAAAAUUUUUGACUCAACCUAGUAAACUGGUCAAUAAACUAUCAAAUUUGGGGCCCAAUUUGAUGGGCCUAGUUGGUUGCAGUGUUGGGUCUAGUUAGUCUCAACAAAUACUGGUCGUAGCCUCGUAGGCAGUUCGCAUUAGAGAUUUAUGAUGAUUGUAAUGUGUGAAUGAGUAAUAGAAAGCUCUAUUUAUUGGCACAAGGAGUAACCUUUGUGCGGUUGUGCAGAUAAAAAGAGAAAACAUGUAGUGGGUUAUAUGAAAUUAAAAGUAAUAUGUUGUUAUAAACACGAUUAGAAAACUCCUGAUUUAAGCCAUAAAAGCCUUCAACUCAACACCAAAGUAUUCAGGGAACUACACUCAUGGUUUGAAUAGAAAUGCACAACCAUGGUUCUAAUACCAAUGGCUAAAAUAAUUUUAAGCUUUACGGCAAUGAAUCCAUUCAACAUAUUUCAUAAGGGAGAAAAACUGCAUUUUAUCUUGGUUGGCCAUGAAAAAGACUUGCUGGUAAGCUUGUUUCUUGCCCGUUAAUUCAACCUUUUGUUCUUGGCUUCAAUCUCAACAGCAAAAUCAAGCUCCUCAUUCACUGCACACACACACAAUUAGGAGAAAGGAGAAAAAGAAAGAUAGUGUAUAAUGGAACUGCAUUUUAAAGAAAUGUGUAGAAAACAAUCAAAACCUCUACAGAAUUCUUAGUAUUUUUGUCAACACAAUACUUCUUCUUUUAAAGACAUUAAUGCCAUAGUACAAAACCUUAGCCUACAAGAUUUGUACACACAAAAUGAAAAAAGAGCCAAGUAAUUCAUGAAUAAAAAACAUAGAGCAAAGAAGGGAUAAGUAACAUAAACACGCACAUGAAAUUGGCACAGAUGAACAAAGAACGAGUUGCAAGCUCUUUAUUACCGAAAGAAACGAGCCCCAUAUCAUAUGAUCUCCCUACAAGCUUUACAACGAGCUAUCAUAUGCUUUCCAACUCUCAAAGAUUAACAAGUUAUAGGCCUUAGAAAUUGCCCUCGUAAAUUCAUUUUAAAGCUAAAUUUUCUUGCUAUUCAUGGGAUGAGCAUAUACUAUAUACAUAUUUUACCCUUAAUUAUAUAAUUGCUAAUUAUUUUUAUUUGAUAUUUUUAAUUAAUUAAUUAUUUUGUUGAAUAAAAAAUUACGUGGAGAUUAUGAAUAAAAAAAGGGCAUAAAGGAGCUCAAUUUCGGAAGCAUUAAUUAAUUGAUUUUCGGAGCAAUUAAGUAUAUUUGCAUGUGAAGUCAAGCAAAGGAAACCAAAUUCAACAAAUUGAUUCAUCCAUGCACAUGAAGACAAAGAAGAUUAUGGCCAUCACGUGAGAAGCAAUCACCAUUAUUGUUAGCAUGUGCAUGGCAUUAAAAAAGGAAUUCUAAUGCAAUUCUAAGUGGUGAGUACGUGUGAGAGCAAAACAAAUUAAAAGGCCAAGCCUUUCGGCUUUAGAAUUGGAAUGGUUGGUGGCUCAUUUUGGAGAUUAUAAAAAGAAAUAUGAACUUUGGCUUUUAAGAGGCCAACCGCGAGAAGAGAAAAAAGAGAGCAACGUUAGGCAUUCGGUAGAGGAGAAAAUAGCGGCAGAAGCUCUUUAAUUCUUUUAUGGUUGGUUUUAUUUUAUUUGUUGCUCUCAAUUCAAGUAUGUCAAGCUAAUUUUCUUUUACUGAGGUUAAAGAUGAAACCUUAUUCAAUGAAAUAAUUAUCUUUUUAUUUAAUGAAUUCCCUACAUGCGUGUUUUAAUGUUUAUGUUUUUUUAUUUUACAUGAUUAAUUGGAUGUUAUUAAAUCUUUUCAUCAAUUCUGUCAAGCAUUAUUGAUUGUUAGGAUUAAUAUUCAAUUAAAUUUAUGCUUUGGUCUAUAAAGUUUUUAUAUUAUUAUCUUUGAUUCUAUAUCUUUCAUUAAAUUGUUUACAUAGAGUGCUUAGGAAAAUUUUGACCAUUUGUUAUUCAAUAUGUUUACAUAAGAUGCUUGGAUAUCAUACUAUUAAGCAGAAAAAGAACCUACAUUAGAUUUAAUUACUUGGGCUUAAUUGUUAUAUUCAUAAGAUGACAUAAAUUGAUUUCGAGUUGUCACUCUAAAAUUGGGGAUUAAUUAACAAUUAGAUAAUUACUAAUUGAAUAGUGGUGAAUUCUGAAACCUUGAUAAUUUUUGUCUUAUUAAAUUCUCUUUUAUUUUAAUUGCCUUAGUUUAAUUAGUUUAAUUUAUCUUAAAACUUAAUUUGCUCAACUAUUUUAGAAUUAAUAUUAAUUUUAGAUUUAAAUUAGACUUUUCAAUUUAUAACAAUCCCUGUAGGUUUGACCUCAUUACCACUAUUCUAUUUUUAAAUUCGUGUGCUUGCAAGUAUAUUAAAAUUUUUCACAAUAAGUUUUUGGCGUCGUUAUUGGGGAUUGUGCCAGAAAGUCAGUUUAAUCUAGAUUGAUUUGAUUUUUCCAGUAGUUAUAAUUUAAGUUGUCUUUUAUUUUUAUUUUAUUUUUUUAAUAAAAAACACAAAAAAUAUUUAUUUGUCUUUAAAUUUAUUGUUUGGUUGUUUGAUUUGUUUUAUUUUAAAUUCCGUUUAUUUUUAUUAUUGUUGCUUUAUUUUCCUUUCUUUGUCUAGUUAGUUUAUGAGUGUUUGGGAACGCGAUUCAACAAAUCGUUUGGUAAGAAAAGAGUUUAAAAUUGAUAGUAGUCGAGUUAGUUCUUCAAAAGUGAUGGAUGACCCAAAUAGAAUAUUGUCAGUACUUCCACCAGUACAAGCAGAGAAAAUCCUUAGAGAAUCUUUUUCACCACUUGCAGCCAACCAACCAUCUUGUAUUGUGUUGCCACAGACUACAUCAACACACUUUGAACUCAAGCCCUCUGUCAUUUAGCUUUUACCAUCUUUCCAUGGGUUAGAGAGAGAGGACCCAUAUUUGCACAUUAAGUACUUUUUUGACAUGUGCUCUACAUUUUAUUUUCAAAAUUUUAAUGAUCAGUCAAUUAGGUUUCGUAUGUUCCCUUUCUCAUUAAAAGACAAAGCGGAAGCUUGGUUGAAUUCACUUCCUGCUAGGUCUAUUACUACUUGGGAUGAAUUAAGUAAUAAGUUUUUUACCAAGUUUUUCCCUAUGUCUAAAACAAAUGUCAUUAGGAGAGAGAUAAAUGAUUUUUGUCAAAGAGAGGGUGAACAAUUUUAUGAGUGUUGCGAAAGAUUCAAUGAUUUACUCCUCAAGUGUCCCCACCAUGGUUUUGAGAAAUGGAGACUUAUAUAGUGCUUUUAUAAUGGUUUAACUAUAUCAAAUCAUCACAUGAUAGAGUCUAUGAAUGGUGGGAGAUUUUUUAAUUUACAUGAAGGGGCUGCAUGAGAUUUCUUUAUUUUACUUUUUGAGAAUUCUCAACAAUGAGAUUUUUCAAAUCAAAGAAAAAAAUGAUCUCAAGUUUCUAGGAAAGUCUAUAUGAAGUUAAUGAAGAUUUUGAUGUUAAGGUCAUUCUAGCUACACUUUCUAGGAAAAGUAGACGCCUUAACUCUGAACCAAUCAAUGAAUCAUCACCCUAGUGUACCUAAUGAGGUUUGUACUCUUUGUUCUAACUUGUCUCAUACAGCACAUAAUUGUCCAUCAUUGCCAGCCUAUCAAGAGGCUUAUUAUGAGCAAGUACAGGCCUUACAAUCAUAUGAAAAAAACCUUCAAUAGUCCAUAUUCAUCCACAUAUAAUCCUAAUUGGAGGAACCACCCUAAUUUUUCUUGGAAACAAAGUCAGCCUUUAUCAAACCAAGGAGGACAACAAUUCAACGUACCCAAUCAACAAUUUGUCCUUACUAACCAAGUAUAUCCUCCUGCCCAACAGCCUAUGUCUCAAUUUGUUACACCUUAGCAAAGAAAACCUUUUUCAGAUGAUACACUUCAAAGUUUCAUUCAGUCAACCCAACAAGCUUUUCAGUCAAACACUCAAGCUAUUCUAAAGCUUGAACAUCAAUUGGGUCAAUUAGCAACUGCUGUGGCUGAGAGAAAAAAAGGAAAAUUCCCAAGUCAGCCAGUUCUUAAUCCUAAAUGAGUGCAUAAAGUUGGAUCAACUUCAAGCCAUCAGUAUAAAGAAGCAAAAUCUAUUAUGACCUUGAGAAAAUGAAAAAUAUUUGACAACAAGGUGGAGGUUCGAACAAGAAAGACAUCUGAACCUACUUAUGCAGAUCCAGUUCCAUCACAAGACUCAUCACUAAAUGAUCCAGAAGAAAGUAAUCCACCAGCUUACAUUCCUAAGGCUUAUUUUCCUUAAAGGUUAACAAAGGUAAAGAAAGAGACUUCAACAUGUGAGAUUAUGGAAAUCUUCAGGCAUGUAAGUAUAAGCAUCCCUUUACUCGAUGCUAUUAAGCAAGUUCCUCAUAUGCCAAGUUUUUGAAGGAUUUAUGAACUAAAAAAAGAAAUUUGCAUGUCACCAAAAAUGCAUUUUUAACUGAACAAACUAGCAAUUUACUUCAAUAUAAAAUGCCACCAAAAUUUAAGGAUCCAGGUUCCCCUACUAUCUCAUGUGUUAUAGGGAACCAAUUGUUUGAUAAAGUAUUAUUGGAUUUGGAUGCAAGUGUUAAUCUCUUGCCUUACUUUGUUUACAUGCAGCUUGGAUUACAUAAAUUAAAGUCAACUUCCAUUAUUUUGCAACAUGCAGAUAGGUUAAUGAAAAUACCUCAUGGUAUUAUAGAGGAUGUGUUGAUACAGAUUGAUAAAUUUUAUUAUUUUGUUGACUUUAUUGAUAUUGAUACUCAGCAUGUACAGGAUCCUAAGAAACACACCCCAGUUAUUUUAGGUCGUCCUUUCUUAGCUAUAGUUGAUGCUCUUAUUAAUUGCAGGAAUGGAAACAUGCAAUUAUCUUUUGGUAACAUGACCAUGGAAUUAAAUAUUUUUAAUGUUCCUGAUAACUCUAGGAAAUGAGAGUUAUUACAUCAAUUCUAAACUUAAAUCAAGAUCACUUAGAGAACAAAUAAGGUGUUUUUAUUACAUUUUGGUUAUAUUUUGCAUAAACAUUCAUUUUAGUUAAGUUUUAAUAAGUUUUGUUUGAAUCAAAGUAAUUGGUGCUAAAAACAGGUGCAUAAUUGUAGGUUUUUAGAAAGUCUUAAUUCAUGAGAGGAUGGUGAGACAGUGGAUGAGCAAGAUGAGGAAAGAAGAUAGCUGCAGAAGAAGUAAAGCACAAUCGGGAAUAGUACAGUGUUGUAGCGGAUGUUAAAGCAACCAGUGCUAUAGCAAUCUGGGAGCAAUGCUGGAGAAAAUUUAGGCGUGGGUCAGCUGCAGAAUCGCGAUUUGCAUGUUUCCUAAUUUAACUCAUGCACGCUUAUGAACUUUUAUUUUACUCUAGUUUGCAGAAUAAAAGAGAGGCGUGCACCACAUAGAGAGGCGGCAAGAGGAAUUAUCAUAAAAAUCAUUAAAGAGAAAAAGAGAAGAAGAUCAGAAUUGAAGAGUGCUGUUUCGGCAACAUUGAGGAAUCUGGCAGAAUUAUUCGAAUUUGUCUUUCACUGUACUCAACUAAUAUUUAUCUUCUUCCUUUGAUUGUUUUAAUGUAUCCCGUGAACAACAUAUUUUUUUUUUUUUUUCUUAUUCAAAAUAUGAACUAUAUUUUCUUGUAGUUGAGUGACAAACAAUCCAAUGGGUUCUUGACUGUUCUUAUGUGUUUGAUUUUUUUACAAAUUUGUUUUCCAAGUCCAUUGAUUUUCUGCCUCUCUUACCAAUCAUGUUAGGCUUGGAAAUAUCCACUUUGGUAUUAUUAUUUUAUAAAUUUUAAUUAUUUUAAUUAUUUAUUAAUUAUUAGUAUUAUUAUUGUUAUUAGUUUUAUUAUUUUAAUUAUUAUUAUUGAUUAAGACUAGAAAGUGUACAUUUGAUAAAAGUUAAAAUUAUCAUUUUCCACUUACAUUGUUGAUAAGACUAACAAUGGCAUCAAAUUUACAAAUCCCUAACACAUUUUAUGAAUUUUCUAUUUUUAUUGGUUUUAAAGUAUGAUUUUUGUGCUUUGUAGAUAAAUCCCUAAAUUCAUGAUGUUUGGAUCGAAAAAGUGAACGUGAAAUUUAGAUUCUGGAGACUCAAAAUCCUUUAGAAGAAUUGCUACCCUUUUGAUCCAACAUUAAUUAUAAACGGUUGAGAUCAUGCUAUGUGUCUAAGCUAAAGUGCACCUUAUUGUACUAGAUUUAACACUUAUCAAUUUGAUAGAUCAACUAUCUUGACAAAUGAGCCUAUGGAAGAUCCCAUUUUGACCUCAUUUAUAGCCAUUGAUUAUAUUGAAUCCGACUAUUCAUAAUGGUUGCAAUUUUAAACCCUUGGAUUAUAUUAGUAAAGCUCAUUUAAAGGUUGUGGUUGCAAGCUCAUCGAAAAUAUUAUGUAAAUGUCCAACUUUAUCAACUCAAAAUUUGCUUAUAUAAAGGCAAGAGCUCUCACAAAUUUGUGUAGAGAAUUUAGAGAGAAGUUGGUAGAGAAUUGGUAGUGGAUUUUACAGGUGAGUUUUGUAGAGAAAUUUAAUGUAAAUCUAAAGUGAAUUUUACAGAAAAGCGUGAGUUUGGUGUAAAUCUAGAGUGAAUUUUAAGAAAAAGUGUGAGUUUGUUGUAAAUCUAGAGUUAAUUUUAGACCCUCAACAUUUUUUUAAUUUAAACUAUUCCUUAUUAAUUUUCUUUUUUACAAUUAUUUUUAUUUUAUAAUUAGCUAUUAUAUUUUUAAAUUCCUUAUGGGUUGACUCGAGAUUCACAAGUUAUAGUACAUCUAGACACUCUUAUAUUUGGGAGUAAUCAACUAUUUUUGAGUCAUGUUAAUUAUCAUUAUUUAUUAUUAUUGUCUUUAUUGUUAUUUUUUUAUUGUUAUUAUUAUUGUAAUAGAAACAAUUAAUACUUAGGAUAACAAUUAAAAAAAGAUAUUUUAGUAACUUAAAAUAAUUAAUUUUGAUUUUAAGAUAAAGUAAACAUAUUAAUAGUAAUAUAAUUCUGACUCAUAUAAUUUAAGUAAAUAAUUUAUUUUAAUAUAUAUUUUUCAUUUUAAUUUCAACUUAUUCCUAUUAGUAGUUAGACUUUCACCUUUGGAAGGCUCCAGGACUUGCUUAUUAGACCUUUGAUUUUUCCUCAAUUUGUUAUUCAAGUCCAUUGACUUUCUACCUCUAUUACCAGUCAUGUUGGGCUUGGAAAUCUCCACUUCUAGUAAUAAUGAGCAUGAACGUGGGCCAGAUUAUUUAAAUGGAUUCUCUAUUGGAGGUAGAUUAUUAGUUGUAAUAUUAGGAUCAUCAUUCGUCAGCCCCCUUCGCCGCAGAGAAAUUUUCUUAUCUUUAAAUUCCUGGCCCCCCUGUCUGUUGUGAAGGUUGAGUUGUGUUGGCGUUACCUCGGAUGUGAAGAACUGGCCAGAAUACUUCCAUGAGGGGCCAUGUCCACUUCUUCUACAGUGCCUAAAUGACUGCCCAAGAAGUGCCCCACCACUCUUUUGUCAAACAUACAAUCGGCAAAUUGUGAACCUAGUAACCAAAGUGACGCAUGAGAGAAAUCCAAUCAAGUUUGGAUAUGUCCCCCUUUUACCGUUGGCUGGACUAGACAAAUUUGGACCAUUCCUGUUAGGCUGAACUUUUUGAGUACAUUUUGAAAGUAACAACCAUAGUGACAUAAAUAAUGGACAUAAUACCAAUAGCACCAACAGUCCAAUGAUCCUUCUUUUUUAUUUAUUUAUUUUUUUUUUUUUGUUGGCUACAUUAUAGUUAUUCACUUAUUUUAUUUAUACUUAUUACAUAAAUUCAAACUCAUUUUGGGUACUAUAGUCAAUGGGCAUAAUUGUGAAAAGAAAUUUUGGGUGACUACUUGUGAAGGGGUGGAAUUUUCCUCCUAACACCCAUUUUCUUAAGAAACCGAUUAUUAAAAUUUAAAAACUUAAUUUUUACUCUACACAUCCUCUAUAUUUCCAAAAAGCUGACCUUAAUUAAAGAUAUACUUUUUUUUUAUUUUUUUCUACAAAUUUGUUUCUACAUCUGCAGCCACUUCUUACCUCUUCUGUUAGCGUUCUCGCUUUGUCUUCAUCUCAAAAAAGUACUGAAGUUGUUCUCUUAUCAAUCUCCACAAGAGCAUGCAUAUUAAUAAGGAGAAAUGAGACUUAAAUAAAUAAACAUGACAUAAUUAAAAUAUUUAAGAUUAUUAAAAUAAUAAUAUUCUGCUAUAAAAAUAUCUCUUUUCAACUUCCAGCCUGCUAUAAUACUUCUUGAAAUUUUUUUGGGUCGCAAACUCGCUUGUCCCUGUUUUAUAUUUGAUUUGCUCAAGGUUCAUAGAUGAGAAAGAAACUAUGGUAUCAGAAGCACCAAUUUCUAUUAUGUUGACACUUCUUGAGUUCGUAUCAUGUUGUUAGUUAGCUGCACUUGGGACUGCAAAGCUAUUCACGUUUUGGAUAAUUAUUUUAUGUUUCAGUUAAUAAAUUAAGUUUGUCCUAAUCUUUAGGAAGUUGUUAGUUUGUUCAACAUGUAUCAGCUUAUGGCUUGAUUCUCGGUCACUUAGUUUCUCAAUUUUUAUUAUUUAUUGUAAGCUUAAUGCAUAAAAGAAAUAAGAAUUUCCAGUAUUGCAUUCCCGCAUAUCUUUCUUUGUUCUUCCUCAAAACUCUUUAAACCUCUGUUUUUAUCUUUCCAAAUUAACACAUGUGCAUUCGCUUUGUUUGUUAUUAUUUGCGAAAUACUCUUUUAAAUUUGAAAAAGGAGAAUUUUUAAAUGAACGACCCAGAAGAAAAUGAAUUAGGGUUUAAUGUUGGGAUGACUUCUCUUAGGUGAGUGUAAAGAGAAUUAUUUCUUUACUAUAAAUUAUCUUAUUUUGUCUCCAGCAUUAAUUUCCUUUAAGGAUAAUUUAAGAAUAUAAUUUUUAUCAAAACAACAGGUGUAAAGAGUAUUUUUAUGAGUUCAAAUAUCUUGGAAAGGGUGAGAAUAACUAAUUUCCUUAUACUCUCUUUUUAAUUAAAAUUUUUAAUGUUAAUUUGGAUAAAAUUAUCUAAUUAUCUAUCUUCUAUCUUUCACACACGUUUCUUUUGUUUUGAGGGUGGAUCUACGACCACGCUCACAUUGUAGUAAAGGAGACUAUAUAUAAGUGUGUGUGGGUGGGUGUGUGUGUACACGCUUAAUAAUAGGACAUUAGGAGUCUUACCUUUAUGAAUACUUACUCUAAGCAAAAUAGUUAUAUAAAAAUGUAGAAAAUAAAAAUGCAAUUCAAAUACAAGCUAUAUAUUCUUCUUAAAAAAAUAAAUUAAAAGUUUAAAUAUAUUAAAAUCUCAAAUACUUAAAUAGAAUGAUUAAAUAAAUUAAGCAACUAAAAAUUGAUAUCUUUUCAAUUUUUCAAAAAGUAUUUUUAGUUAAAAAUAAAAAAUAAAUUAAGCCUAUUGGACACUCAAUAGCACACAACUUUGAGCUUGCUUCAAUUUAUAGAAAACAGCUUCCCUUUAGCACAGCAAUUUCUUCAUUAAAUUUCUCAAACAACAUGAGCUAUGUCUAAUAGAGCUUCAUUGUUUAAAAGACAAUAGAAUUUUAAAAUUAAUGAUAAGAUACUAAUAACUGAUAAAAUUUGAUAACUUAAUAAUAAAAUUCAACUUUAUUGCCUUAAUUAGGACAAUAACUUGAUCAAAAUUGACUUUAAAAUUAAGGUGAAAUUGGCUUGGCCGUAAAGUGAGCACUGAUAUUUGUCUUUUGUUAGUAGUUGAUCGGUGGAAAUUGGAAUAAAAGAAGAAAAUGGAACUUGAAAUUUUGACUUAAGUAUCCAUUUAAUAUUUGUAUUUUUUAAAAAUACCUUAAAACAACCUUAUAGUUAAAUAUGUUAGCCUAAAGGGUUACACAUAAUGUAAUUUUGAUGAUAACAAAAAUGUGUCUUAAGCGAUUUAAUAAAUAUUGUAUUUAACAUUUUCACAAGUUUUUGAAGGAUAAUAUUUAUGCAAGUGAAUCAAGUGAAAUCAAGUUCAAGACACUAAACGGAUAACGGCGAAAUAAAGAAUAAAGUUUAGAGCUCAACGGAUAAAUUAUUGCGACAAAUUCUUGUAAAGCCGAUAUGAUUUAAUUGAUACAUGAUUUAGAAUUUGAGAAGCUCAAGAGUUUAUUUAAAUAAUUACUUUUCAUAAACUAAAAUGUUUUAUAUUUAUAAGAUAAAAUAUUUUGUGAAUUUGAGUAAUUUGGACUAAAAUAAAAAGUUUUACAAUCUUUGAAUUUAAUAAGUAUUAUUUUAAAUUCUGAAAUUGAACCUAUUUGACAACAUUUGAAAUAUUUUGCAUCAUAUUAUAAUUUAUGAAAGAUUAUGGACCCGAAUGUAAUUCAAACAUUUGAAUUCGGAAAGAGAGUGCGGCUAACCCCCUGAGGGCUGGCGGCUAGCCGUCUGAGGAAAAUCUCAUAUUCUCAACUUUUGGAUAAAAUUGUAAGGAUUUGAGAACUUUGACAUUUAUGAAUAUUUUGUUAAACUUUGAAAAGGAUGUCUUUGAAACAUAUUAUUAUAUAUUGGGCCAUAACAUAGUUUCAAAAAGUUUUGGGAAUGAUAAAUAUUAUUUAAAAAUUCUAAAAUUGGAUCUUUUUGUAAAAUUUUAUGACAUUUGGGCUAUAGUACAAUUACAAAGAGUUUUAGACAAAAAUAUAAUUUUAUGAACAGUGUUAAGUGGCUAACUGCUUGGGCGCGGAAAUUUACCUAUAACGGCUAGUUUUCGAGCUUUAACUAUAAAAACUCAACUCCAACUUCAUUUUAAAUAUUAAUGUAAGGAUAAACAAGAUCACAUAACACAUAUUGAGCUUCCAUUUCGCAAAUCAUCAUUUAUUGAAUCAUUAUUGUGCUAUUAUUUACAUAUCCACUCUUAAAGAGAGUUUUUGUUGUAAUUUUCAUUUCUCAUCAAAUUGUGAGUGUACAAGUGUGAGAAACACUUGGGGUGAAGAGAUUUGGGAGAUAAUAUCUUGAUUGUAAAGGUUAUUGACACAUUGGAAGUCAAUUGUAAGAACUUGAGGCCUUGAGAGGCUUGGAUAGUGAAAUCUUUAGCUUGGUUGGCUUGGAGGUGUGGACGUAGGCGGAGAUUGCCGAACCACGUAAAAAUUAUUGUGUUUGAUUUCUAUUCCCUUACUAUUUUAUUAUUGUGCUUUACUAAAUUUAUUGUUUUUGUAUUUGAUUAAGGCAAUAGAUUAAAUUGUUUAGCAUAAGUUUUAAAAUCCCAAUUCACCCCCCCUCUUGGAUUGCAUAACUUGCAUUUCAAAAUAUAUUACAUUCUUUCUUUUACUUUUUUUACAAAAAUACCUUUCUAAUAAUAUUCUUGACAUUAAUUUAUUUAUUAAUAAGAAAUUAAUUAACAAAUUAACCAAUACUUAUUUACUAAACCAAUAAAUAUUGAUGUAAAAGAAUUAUUAUUAUUUAUUUAUGCAACAAGUUUACUAAUAAUUAUUUAUAAAUAAAAUUAAUAUCAAUCAACUUAAAUCAAUUUUUAUACAAAAAUACCCUUGCAAUAAAAUUCUUGGGAAUACCAAUAAAAAGAAAAAAAUUUUAUCAAAUUGACUUAGAAAUAACAUAAAAAUUUACACAAACUUUUAUAUUAUUAUAAUUUUUUUUUUUUACUUUUAGGAUUAACUUAGGAAAUUAUUUUUCUAUAAAAUAAUUAUUAGUAAGAUUGCUAUAAGGAUGUUUGACCCACUCAAAUCAACCCCCACUCUUUAAUUAACAAAAAAAUAUUACCAAAAUUACCUUUUAAAAAUAAAUAUAGUUUUUUAUUUUAAUUUUUGGUCUCUCUCAAAAUUCAUCAUAUUGAAUUCUUGAUCUUCUAAUAUAAAACGGCAAAGCCAUUAGUAAGAAUUAAAUCUGCAAUAAAAAUAUAAUGAUUUGUAUGGGGUUCAUAUCCGGAAAAACAAAAUAAAUUUAUAUCAUGGGGUUAUCAUUGUUUCUCUAAAUUCAUUUUACAGCUAAAUUUUCUUACUAUUCAUGCAAGCAAACUUUUCAAUUGCAUAUCAGACUGCGAUGGUGGUGAGGAAAAAAAAAUAAACAAUUUUUUUUUUACAUUUUAAGGAUAAUUUUAAAAAUAAAAUGAUUAAUUGAAUACCGGAAAAUAAUGAGAUCAAUUAAAGGAUCAAAUAUCAUUUCAAAGCUAUGGUAAUGUGCGCUGACAAAACCUCUCAACUGCCACCGGCGGCUGACCGAUCUACCAAGAAAGCAAAGUUUAAGGCUCAAGGGGCAGAUGGGGAUAACCCAUCUCCUUUGUCUUUCCGCGACAUGCUAAUGGACAUGCACGAACAAUCUGAUAGUGGGAAGUUUGGCCGGAAGGAUGACUGGGAGUUGGAGGAGGAUGAUGUGACGUACAGGGAGGAGGAACCUAUGCCAUUCAUAGCAUUCUCAAGCAGAGUUCAUGAACGGUUAGUGGAACCCUGGGAAAACUCAGUGGUGGUCAAAAUAUUAGGGCGCAACUUGGGGUAUCGUGUUCUCAGUUCUCGGUUGAACAGGAUCUGGAGUUCUACCACAAGGUUUGAAAUAAUUGAUUUAGCUAAUGAUUAUUUCCUGAUCCGUUUCUACAACAAAAAGGAUGUGGAGUAUGCCCUUACUGAGGGACCAUGGACGGUGAUGGGGCAUUAUUUAUCAGUGCAGAAAUGGUCUCCAGACUUCGAUGUAGUUAAUAAUAAAAUCAACCGCAUCAUGGCUUGGAUCCGUCUGUCUCAAAUGAAUAUUCAAUUUUAUCAUAAGAGUAUUAUCCGGCGACUAGGGCACAUUAUUGGUCCAGUCAUCAAAAUUGACAAUAACACAAUUACGGCACAGAGAGGCAAAUUUGCUCGUCUUGCGGUUGAAUUAGAUCUUCAGAAGCCUCUAGUUUCUCAGUUUAAUCUUGAAGGAAGGAUUCAAAAAGUGGAAUAUGAAAAUUUGCCGACGAUUUGUUUCGGUUGUGGUAAAUUUGGCCACUUCAAGGAUGCAUGUCCUGAUAGUGCUGACAUUAACAUCAUGGCCAAGGACAAUCCAGCCCCUCCUACGGAGGCUGAGGGGCAAGCCGUUGUGGUGGCUGCAGCAACUGACUACCGAGAGCCUAAAUUUGGAUCGUGGAUAGUGGUGGCCCGCCAGCCGCGCCCUCGUAAAGUCUUCGCCAAGGAUAAUCCUAAAGUUCAAGAUAAGGAUCGGUACAUGCCAAAAACUAGCCAGUCUCUGUUUGGUGUUUUGGAAGACCUUGAUAUUGAGGAUGAGAUCUCUCAAGAUCAUGAUACAGACCCCGGUUCUCAACGGGAACCUAUGAUGCAUGUAUCGGAGAGCAUCCAAUUCCUAGCCCCAAAACCUCGGAGCAUGAAAACGAAAAACCCUAGUCAACUCACUCGGAAAUACCCCCCUCGUCAAGUUUCCAUCACCAUUCCUCCAAGUCAACACGUAACUGAAAAUUUUGACCCCAAUACUCAAAUUCCCACUGAUUAUUCCCACCAAAAUAACCAACCCCCAGCCAUGCAUGGCAUGCAUGCUCCACCCAAAUUUUCCACGUCCACUCAUUCUGCUCCAUCUAAUGCCGCCUCCACUUCCAUGCAUGGUAUGCAUGCUUAUCAUAAUCAUGGCCAACACAAUCCAGGUCCAUUUCCAGUAUCCAUCACCCUUAACCCGCUACACCAUAGUGCCGUAUCUUUCUCCAAGACUUUUUCCCCAAAGGCAACUAAUCAUCCCCCCUCUCAACCUGUUGGUGACCCCUCUCUUGUUGGUGAACCACCGGACAAGGGCAAUCUGAAUGACCCUUACAUUAUGGAAGCCAUUGUUGAGCCUGAAGACUCCCCAGUUGCAAGCAGGAGUGGCUCUCCUUUGUCUACUACUGAUAUCUUAUUUGUUGCUGAUUCUGGCAUGGAAAUUGAGGCUGCGGCUUUGGAGUCCUCCCAGUAACUCCACUUGUUUCCCUUUCCAAUAAAUUUUAUGUUUAUUAGAACCAUGUUUUGGAAUUCUCAAGGUGCAGCGUCACCGUCUUUUUGUCGUUCCUUUUCGGUUUUAGUUCAGAAUUACAAGCCUUCCCUGGUUGUGUUGAUGGAGCCCCGUAUUAGUGGUUAUAAGGCUGAUCAUUUUAUUAAAAUAAGUGGCUUUGACAAAUCAUUCCGGGUGGAAGCAGAGGGUUUUUCUGGUGGCAUUUGGGUCCUAUGGAAAGAUAUUUUUUAGGUUGAGAUUGUUGCCAGCCAUUCUCAGUUUGUUCAUCUUCGAAUUUCCAACAACAAUAAUGUUCUCUCUUGGUUGACAGCUAUUUAUGCAAGCCCUAACCCCAGUCUUAGAAAAUAUCUUUGGAGUGAGCUAGAUAAUUUAGCUCAAACAGUUUAUGGUCCCUGGAUUUUGGGUGGGGACUUUAACACUAUUUUGUACGAUUCGGAAAAGAAAGGUGGGUCCCCUACAGGCACAGGAGCUUGCACUCUCUUCCAGUCUUGGUUCAACCUUCACAACAUGCAUGAUCUUCAAUCUCAUGGGCCACGUUUUACUUGGUCACGUGGAAGCCUAUUAAAACACCUUGAUCGCGUUAUUUGCAACAGUGAGUGGGCUCGUACCUUUUCCAAUUCUUUUGUGCUCCAUCUGCCGAAACUGAACUCUGAUCAUAGGCCUAUCCUGGUGCGAAGUACUGAUUUGUCUUCGAGAGUUUCGAUCUCUCGUCCUUUUCGGUUUCAAGCGGCUUGGCUUACUAAUGAAGGUUUCAAAGAAUUUGUGUCUGAAUCUUGGGAUCAGAACCUUCAUUACUUAGAUGGUGCUAAUAAAUUUCGUCAUAAGGUUACUGAAUGGAACAAGCAGUGUUUUGGGAAUAUUUUUUGGCGGAAAAAAUGUUUAUUAGCUCGUUUGGGAGGGAUUUAGCGGGCUUUAGAAAGAUAUUACUCUAAAGGGUUAUUAAAUCUUGAGAAACAACUAAACGCGGAUCUGGAAGAGGUGCUCACCCAAGAGGAAAUUAUUUGGCAUCAGAAAUCUCGGAGGGACUGGCUGCUUCUCGGUGAUCGUAAUACAUGUUACUAUCAUCACAAAACUCUUUCUAGAAGAAAACAAAAUAAUAUAGCGGCCAUCCAAAACAAUGCAGGGCUUUGGCUUUAUGAGGAAGAGGAAAUUAAAUCUCAUGUAAUUCAGUUCUACUCAACGUUAUUCUCUUGUGAUUCUCCUGACCUUCAGCACUACCCCCAUCCAAAUUGUUUUCCGCUUAUUAAGGAUGACUUGCUCCAUACCUUAAAUAAGUGCGUGGAGGAUGCUGAAAUUAAACAAACUAUCUUCAGCAUGCACCCUCUGAAAGCCCCGGGUCCUGAUGGUCUCCAUGCCAUUUUUUAUCAGACGCAGUGGAACACUGUGGGCUCUCCUUUAUGUCGUUUGGUGAAAGCUGUUUUCCAUGAAAAAUAUAUUCCUUUGGGGCUCAAUUCCACGCUGAUUGCUCUCAUUCCCAAGACAGAAAGCCCCUCCUCGUUGAAAAUGUACCGUCCUAUCUCCCUUUGCAAUGUUGGCUAUAAGACUAUCACCAAGCUGUUGGCUAAUCGCCUUCAAUCUAUUUUACCCUCUCUGAUUGGCCCCCAUCAAACUAGCUUCGUCCCUGGUCGUCAUAUCACGGAGAACAUCGUGAUUGCUCAAGAGGUUGUUCACUCUAUGCGCAAGAAGACGGGCUCUACUGGUUUUAUGGCUAUUAAAGUUGAUUUAGAAAAGGCUUAUGAUCGUCUCAGUUGGGAGUUUAUCAGUGAUACUCUGCGUGAAGCUCGCAUUCCUUCCGAUCUUAUUCAUGUUAUUAUGGCAUGCAUCACUUCGGUUACUAUGAGGGUUUUGUGGAAUGGGGAGGCUACGGAUGAAUUUUCUCCUUCCCAAGGAAUUCGUCAAGGCUGUCCAUUGUCCCCUUACCUAUUUGUCCUUUGCAUCGAACGGCUCAGUCACGGGAUUCGCAAUGCUAUUAGUGCCGGGAAGUGGCGUCCGAUCGGGUUAUCUCGCCAUGGAACACGUUUAUCUCAUCUUUUUUUUGCGGAUGAUCUUCUUUUGUUUGCAGAGGCUACAGUUGAGCAAGCUAGAGUUAUUUCAACAGUGUUAGCAGAAUUUUGUGCUUGUUCUAAUGCCAAAGUUAAUACAAGUAAAACUCUGCUUUAUUUUUCAAAGAACAUAGGUGCCAGAGAUGUCUCUGCAAUUUCGGGUCUUCUUGGCUUCUCAGUUACUUCUGACCUCGGCAAAUACCUUGGGGUCCCUCUUCACCAUUCAAGGGUUUCUACCAAUAUGUAUAAAGGGAUCAUCGAUAAGGUGGAGAAGCGGCUGUCGGCUUGGAAUGCCUCUCAUUUGUCCUUGGCUGGCCGCAUCACUCUAGCUCAGUCAGUUCUCCAGGCAAUUCCCAUCUAUGUUAUGCAGACUGUUUCCCUUCCUCGUGGGGUUUGUGAGAAAAUCGAUAGAGCGUGCAGGAGGUUUAUUUGGAGCGGUUCGUCUCCUCAACAGAAGCUCAACAUGGUUAGUUGGAAGAUUGUGUGCAAGCCUAAAGCUUCUGGCGGUCUUGGUUUCAAGUCUUUGGCAAUGAUGAAUCGGGCUUUACACAUGAAGCUAGCUUGGGGCAUAAUCUCCUCUUCGAAUAAUUUUUGGGUCCAGGUCCUUACUUCGAAGUACAAAGUGGAUCCUUACAACUUGCCUCCCGUCCUUCCAACACGCUAUGGUUCUCACUUGUGGAAGUCUCUUGGGCAGGUUUGGAGUGAGGCUCUUGCAAGCAGGCGCUGGAGUUUGGGUGAUGGUCAAUCUGCUCGUUUUUGGUGGGAUCUUUGGGUCACUGAUACGGUCCCUUUAAUCGCAUGCGCAACAAAUACUAUACAUGUGGGCAUUUUGGAUUGUAAGGUGGAAGAUCUUGUUGAUGUAAAUGGGGCUUGGUGUUGGCCUCGUUUUGAUCGAUAUCUUCCCAACCAUAUUGUUCUACAAAUAGCUGCUCUUCACCCCCCUUCCCACGUGAAAGGCAUGGACACUAUCUUUUGGGCUCAUUCAAAACACGGAGCUUUUUCUACAAGCUCGGCGUAUUUGGCUCUCUCUGAGUACGAUCCAAAGUCUGAAGAUAGAGAUUGGCAGUUAGUAUGGAAGUGGAAAGGCCCUCAAAGCGUGAGAAUCUUCUUGUGGCAAGCGUUUCACGUUGGUUUGAAAACUAAGGCUGAGUUGGCUCGGCGGCACUUACCCAUCUCGCCUUGUUGUGAUCGUUGUAGGGCUGUGUGUGAAGAUAUUACGCGUGCUCUACGUGAUUGUUGGUUGGUUAAGCAGUUUUGGCUCAACAUUAUUCCGACAAGCAAACGUCACAGUUUCUUUAAUUCUCGGCUUCAUCUUUGGCUAUGCUCGAAUCUGGUUGUUAAUCGUAAGGUAGGGAAUGUUUCAAACUGGGCUGUUUUUUUUGGAGUGGCGAUAUGGCGGAUCUGGUAUUGGUGUAAUCAGUUUCUCUUUAACAAAUUGAUGUUAGACCCUUUGGCUUUGUUGGUGGAUGUCCAUACAAGAGCUGAGAAGAUUCACAAGCUUCAUAACCACCUGUUGCUCACUAGGAAUAUUAGGACUCACAUGUGGAUUUCUUGGCAUCCUCCUGAGUGGCCCUGGUGUACUCUGAAUACGGAUGGUGCUCACAAGUCUCACGGAAAUUCUACUGCAGGUGGUUUAAUUCGAGAUCACUUAGGACGUUGGCUAAUAGGCUUUGGGAUGAUGAUUGGUUCUUGCUCUAUUACUGUCGCGGAGCUCUGGGGCUUAUAUCAAGGGUUUCAGCUUGCAUGGAAUUCUGGUAUCCGUAGAUUGAAAGUUGAAACGGAUAGCCUUUGCGUUACUCAAUUGGUGGCUAGACCUUCGGUGGUGACCAAUGAAUAUGCUCCCUUGGUCCAGGCUAUAAAAGAUUAUCUCAAAUUGGAUUGGCAUGUUUCCAUUUCUCACAUCUACAGAGAAGCAAAUUUUGCUGCAGAUUAUAUGGCGAACCUCGCUUUUUCUAUUCCGCUAGGCUUUACUGUGUACCCUUCCCCCCCUUUGGGCGUUAGGGCUCUGUUAUUGCAUGACUCUUACGGGGUUUCUCACCCCCGUUCUGUUGUUCUCUAGCUCUUCUUAGAGCCCCAAUUAAUCAAAAAAAAAAAAAAUCAUUUCAACAAAAGUAUUAUUAUUAUUAUUAUUAUUAUUAUCAUCAUUAUUUAUUUUUUAAACUGGUUCAAAUGUGCUCUAUUUCAUUAUAUUCUUAGAACUUGAGUUAAACUUGAAAUUGUCACUCUCUUUGCACAAUUUAAGAGAGUAGGUUCGCAUCUCAAGGAAUUCUAUAUUUCAUAUUUGUCACGAGUAACAAACAAAAAAAAAAAAGAAGAAAAUCUAGAAAUUGUAAAUGGAAAAUAUGAGAAAUUUGAAAUUACCUGCAAAAUGAUUUUAUCCAGUCAAGAUGAGACGGUGAUCAUUCAAGAUAACGAAUAGAUUCCUUUCAAGAUUACAACUGGACAUGAGCUGACAGCAUUUUUUUUUUCUCUCUUUUUGAGCUUUUGAGAAGAACAGGAGAGCACGUUUUUUUUUUUUUUCAUUUUUUUCUUUUUUUUUGAUGCUAGGAGAGCACGUUAAUUAAACAAACAAACACCAAUCGACAAAAUUAUAAACGACAAGAACAAUUAUUUCAUUCAAGUUUAUGUGGUGAUAAUUCAAUAUAACAUUGGGGCACGAUGAGGAUGGUCAACAGACAAAUUACCAUCACAAUAAACGUGUCAAAUAAUUGCAGGUGCGCCCCGAAGAGAGGAAGAAUCUCCAAAUUAUCGGAUAAUGAUAGCAGAAUGGUAUUGCUUCAGAAGUAAUCUUGUAUUAAUUCUGAAUUUGUCCUGAGUACUGAAUUAAUAAUCAAUAAUUAUUUUACGUGGCCCUCAAAUAAUUGCUGUCUAUUUAUCUAAUGUUCAGGAUAAGCUCAGAUCAGCACCGGAUCCGUUUUCCAAUUUUUCUUCCCCAAAUUCUGUUUCUGUACACUGUAAGUAUUUUUCAUCCUCAUUUUCUUGUAUCCAUUUUGCGUGGCCCUCAAAUAAUUGCUGUCUAUUUAUCUAAUGUUCAGGAUAAGCUCAGAUCAGCACCGGAUCCGUUUUCCAAUUUUUCUUCCCCAAAUUCUGUUUCUGUACACUGUAAGUAUUUUUCAUCCUCAUUUUCUUGUAUCCAUUUUGCGUUAUGUCACCAUUUAUUUUCAUCUCGACAUUUGGUUUCAAUUAGAUCACCGGAGGAAAUACGAUGGGAAGAACACAGAUCAUCUCAAAGAGCACCGUCUGUGCAGCAAUUCACAAGGAACCAAACCUUAGAAUCGAUUUAACUCUAUGGGAUCUUAAGCUCAUUCAAUUUGAUACCAUUCAGAAAGGACUUCUCUUCCGCAAACCUUCAGAGGAUAACACCGAUACCAGCAGCUUGAACUUGAUCCACCACCUCAAGACCUCCCUUUCACGUACGCUAGACUACUUUCCCCCACUUGCCGGUCGCCUAGCCACCAUCGAGCAUCGUGAUGACAGCAACACAAUUUCUGUUUACAUAAAUUGCAACAAUGCCGGCGCAGAGUUUGUGCACGCCAUGGCCGAUGGAGUCUCUGUUGCAGAUAUCAUUACACCUGUUUAUGUUCCUAAUGAAACUGUUUACUCUUUUUUCCCACUAAAUGGAGUAACAAACUGUCAGUGUAUCUCCGAGGCCAAGCCGUUGCUUGGGGUUCAAGUGACAGAGCUUGUGGAUGGAAUCUUCAUCGCUUGCACUAUCAAUCACUCCGUUGUUGACGGCACUUCCUUUUGGCAUUUCUUCAAUUCCUGGUCUGAAAUCUCACGGGGUUCUGAUUGUAUUUCAAAAGUUCCAGUUCUCGAACGUGGGUUUCUCUCUGAAUCAGAAUAUUUUCCCAUUCGCCUCCCUCUCUGGAGCAUUGAACCUUCCGGAACUCGCACUCCACCGCCUAAUUUGCAACAAAGGUUUUCCACUUUACGAAGGAAAACGUUGCAAAACUCAAAGCAAAAGCCAAUGCUGAGAUUGGUAGUACCAACAAAAUCUCCUCUCUCCAAGCAAUCCUUUCCCAUAUUUGGCGAUCUGUUACUCGUAAUCGAUCUCUUGAUCCUGAUGAAGAAGUUCAUUUCAUGUUAGGAAUGGGAGUUAGACAAAGAUUGCAACCACCACUGCCACCAGAAUAUUUUGGAAAUGCAGCUCAGG
rnacentral:lncRNA from 1 species